rnacentral:lncRNA from 1 species
UUUUUUUUUUUUUUUUUUUUGGUGGGGUGGGUAAUCUUAUCAAAAGACUAUGGAUGGCCCUCAUUUGUAAGCCUAUAAAAUGACAAAAUAGUACACCAAUUAUAUAAGCCUAUAAGACUAAUGAUGAAUCAUUCUUUUAAAAAAGAAAAUUUUUUUUUUCAUCAGCGUGAAUCAUAUUUCAUUGUUGAAGUCCUUGAAGUUAAAAGUAGAAUUUUACAUGCCAACAAUUUACCUUGAAGUACAAAUUUAAGGCAAAUUCUAAAUGUCAAGUUUUUGUAAUGUUUUAAACAUUUCAUUUUUGUGUCUUCUUCCCUCUUGCCUAUCAUUAAUUUGGGCGAGACACUCGAGUCUGGACAGGUGUGCUUGUCUGACGUUGUUGUCUUUGUGGCAAUUCAUUUGAAACCCCAAAAAAAAAAAAAAACGCAUUUAAGUUGAAGAUUAUUCGACUCUUUUGUUAAUUGGUAUUGAUGCGAUAUUUUUUUAAUCUAAUGAUGAUUGAUAAACAAAUAUUAUUAUUAGUUUUCUUUGAGUAUUCACCCUUCCCUUCAAAAGAAAAGCUUAUUCUAAACUUGUUACGAAGGAGAUAACCAUUCAUCUUUCCGUAAGAAGGAUUAUUCAUUCAUCUGUAAAAAUAUAAUUCCUAAAGUUGGAAGGAAUUUUGUUAGACAGUAAAUUAUUUGAGAUAAUUUUGUGAAAAAAUAUUGUCAUAUUUUUUUAAUGUGAUGUAUGUGGGAUAAAAUGAUUAUUCAAAAAUGAAAAUGCGUAAACAAGAUGAAAAUAAUAUGUAAUUCAACCAUUCAGACAGAGAAUUCCAUUCCCCAGAAGAAGUGUUACUACUAGACAGUAGUAUUACUUAAUUUAGUAGAGUCGUCAAAUGAUGAUAACGCUGUGAUGAUCAAGGAUCAUGGUAAUGAUUAAAACUUAAUUAAACACCAUUUAACAAAUUACCAAGAAACAUUGCGUAAACAGUCUUCCACGAGUGGACCCAAAUAUCCGAGCCCGAAAGGAUAAAGCAGCUCGGAAACAAAGAAAGAAAGAAAGAAAGAAAGAACGGGGGAAACAAAAAUCCCUAUACCUCAAAUGGGACCCACCCACCAGCCCCGCCUUCGGCACCACCUCCCAAAGUCUUAUCUAAUCACCCCAAGUGACUAAAUCUAAAUUUGUACCUCAAAGCUUUUCUUGUUUUCUAUUUUGCACCUUAAUCUUUUAUGUUAAAUGCAAAUUUUUGUAUUUGUCCUAUUUGAGUUCCCUGGUAUCUUUUUAUUUCGAAACUUUCCGAGAGUCGCACUCUCACACUUUGGGGAGCCAAGAGGGUUUGAAAUUGACUAACUCGACUCUCUAAUAAUUAGUUUAGUGUUCGAUAGUUUCGAUAAAAAAUAUAUAUAUAUAUUAUUAGAUUACAUGAAUUUAUUAGGAGAACUUGUUAUAAGUAUGAACACAAAUUGAGGACUUCUAUGUGGGUUAUUGUCACGGGCGUUAUAUGUUUGCUGUCUCAUUAACAUAACGCUGCCAGUAAUUCAACCAAAUUAAAAUGUUGAUCAAAUUUAGGGGGUGCAAAGUAUAUGAAAGAAAAGUUUAGGGUAUAAAGUCUAAAUGAAAAAAUAAGGUGACAAAGUGGGAAAAGCUUCACCCGUAGUCACCAAACUCCAAACCUCAGCCUUACCACGUGGCGCCAAAGCUGAGGCUCGGCUUCAGCACUACCCUUGUACGCUUCUUCUUCUUCUUCUUCUGCUCUCUGGCCUCUGCCACUUUCAUCAUCAUAUUUCUUCACACACUCACGCACUAUCAGCAAAGACAACACACUCGUACGGAACGAAUAUAAUCACAAAUUACUUUGUCUUUUUUGUUUUUCCUGGCUCGUGAUUUGGAGUGAUCAUCAUUCAUAUGAUUAACACGAGGUUUAGCUUUAAUCCCUUUUCUCUGUCUCGACGGUCAUUAAAAAAAAAAGAUAUUUUUAUGAGUUGAUCGUAUUCGUUUGUUGUUGUUGUUGUUGUUGUUGUUGUUGCUUUUAAAAAAAAAACAAAAAUCUUAAUUAUGCAAAUUGUUUAAGAGAGAUUGCUUAAAGUUUUGGACUUUAUUCUCAUGCUAUACUGUACUUGAAGACUGAAGUGUUUAACUGUUUCAGGGGAGUUUAGUAGUUGGAUUGUAAUCAUGGGAAUGUGUUGAUUUCAAAAGCUUUGCCUUUUGGGUUUAAUUCCUCGAAAAAAAAUAUGAAAAUUCUUGAGUCUUGAAUUCUAGUUUGCUCUUUUUAAUCUUUUUCGAAUUUUUUACUUUUUAUUUUUAAAAAUUUUGAGGUUUCAACACUGAGGAGAAGUCUAUAUAUUUGUCUUAGUGGGGGCAGGAGCCAGGAGGGGUGCAGAAUGGAGAGGAAACGAUAAAGUCGGCUUCUUUGGCGGUGAUUUUAUUAGGGGUAGAAAAUAUAGUAUGUUAUGAGAGUUAUAAUGGGUGCUUAGCUAGCUCUCAACUAUCCUUUCGCCUUACCUGCUAGAUUUUUAGCAGAAUUAAUUAAUUGUGAAGAAAAAUUGAAGUUUUGUAACUUAAACUGGAAGCACCCUUAUGGAAAUUAUCUGCUACUCUUACAGUUGAGCAAAAUAUAAGUGUUUCUUAUAUUUAAGUAAGUUUCUUUGUGUUUAUGAUCAGGAAUUCCCUUUUGGUUUUAUGGAUAUUUUAGUUGCGUGGUAUUCGUGUGUUGUAGAAUUGCGACCUUUUAAUAGACACUUACUCUUCUGGAUGCUCGUAGACUCUUGAACUGUGACUUUAAAGCUCCAACAGAUGAGCAGAGAGGCAGAAUUUGAUUAGUUAACUCUUUAACCAAAAAAAGAUUUGAGCAUCAUCAGUGGAAAUGCUUCUUUCAUACAGUGGCCUGGCCGAUACAGCUUCCUGCUUCAAGAAAUUUAUGUCAUUAUAGUGGUCUAAUCUCAUUGUUCUUCUAUUGUUCAAUAUGGAUAUCUAAUAGUCUGUGAAAAUGGAAACUGAGGCAUGAUAUAUUUCCAUGCUUUUAAAGUAAAUGUUUGCUUUUUUAUUGUUUUUUUUUUUUUUGGGGAUGUGUUUGUCUCUCUGUGCCCAGCAUCCUCGUUUAAGCAUGUUUUUCUUCUGUUUUGUCCUGCAGGAUGCAGUACUAGAAUGCAUUCCCAACAAUUUGGCCAUUAUAUGAGUUAAUUUUUGCUUAUAUGCUGGCUCACUGGCGUUAAAGAUUAUAAGAUAUUUAUAAAUGGGAGGAGCUUGUUCCAGAAAACGAGACCAGCAGGUUGAUGAGGACAACAUACACAGAGGAUUUUCUGGGAGAUACUGCAAAAGUGGAAGUUCAAAAUGGCUUGGAUCCUCAUUUUCACGAUCUUUGUCAGAUGUUAAACAGGGGAUAGGGAAGAGCCCAUCUCUCAUGGAGUUGUGUACUUACAAAAUUUGUGAAGUAUGUAUUUUUAUUAAUAAGCUUUUAUUGAGGAAAAUCUUGAACAUAUGUUAUCGAAGGGAUUGAUUGUUCUGCUUUGUGCUAUUACAGGCCAUCCAUAACUACGGUUCCUUCUCUAUGUUGCCAAGGGAUGUAAGUCAACAGAUAUUUGAUGAGUUGGUCUAUUCACAACGUUUAAAUGAUGUCAUUCUUCAAGCUUUUCGAGAUUGUGCUCUUCAGGUAGUUGAACUUCCAUUUGUUGAAGUGGGAAUUGCUGCAGUGAUUUUUGUUUUUUGGGUAUUAGGCAGUUUGGCAGACUUGAGAGCAUCUAUAUUGUACUUGGCAGGAUUUGAAUUUGGGGGAAUACCCAGGAUUCAAUGACAGUUGGAUGGACAUGAUUGCUUCACAGGGUUCAUCUUUACUUUCUGUGGAUUUCAGUGGUUCAGAUGUUACUGAUGCUGGCUUGAGCCACCUCAAAGACUGCACAGGCCUUCAAGCGUUGAAUUUUAAUUAUUGUGAUAAGAUUUCAGACAAUGGGAUGGCACAUAUCUCUGGUGUGGUUUCCUUCCUAGCCUUGGGUUAUUUGUCACAUCUUCAUUGAUCUGUUAAGAAAUACUCCCAUGAUGCACCUCCUUUUCCCCCUGCCCAGUGAAUGUAGAUGAAAUUGGUUAGCUUCUUUUCUGUGCAUCAGUGUGCACAUACAGGCACAUUUAAUUUUCUUGGUCUAGAGGCUUAGCAUGGAGUUGAUUCUAAGGUUUUAAAUGUUCAGUAAAAAAUUAUGGGAAUUGUGCUUAUGGAGUACUAAGUAGGGAAAUCGGUCUAAUUCUUACAGUCCAUAGGUGCCUGAAUGCUACUUAUUUCUCUGAAUGAUUUGUUGUUCUUAGAAUACUUUUACCUGACUUCUAAUGGAGUGUACAUUGCUUAAUGCCGAACUGUGUAAAGCAGCUGUAGCUCUGAAUUUCUCUUAUCAGCAAUCAUUUUCUUCGUUUUAUGCAUUACCAGAACAUAUAAUCUCUCAGGAUUAUAUCUUGGUCCCUGAGUGAUUAAUCUAUGUGCCUUUGGUUCAAAUUAUCAGGUCUUUCAAACAUGACGACCCUGAGUUUCAGGAGAAACAACAUGAUUACAGCUCAAGGAAUGAGUGCCUUAUCUGGUUUGGUUAACCUAGUGAAGUUGGACCUUGAAAGAUGCCCAAAGAUCCAUGGAGGUCUUGUUCAUCUUAAAGGUUUGUUCCUUGUUUUGCUUUGAUUAGAGAACUAAUCUGCUGCACGUAGAUUGAAUUCUGAUAAGGACAGCUUGUAUGUUUCUUAGAUUUAGAAUAAAAGGUUUCAACCCUAUGAUUCAACAUGGGGCUUGUCUUCUUUGUGCACCAUUUCUAUUGCUGGAUAAGCUAGCAGAUUUUUUGAUGUGACAAUAAGUAUUUGCCAACUUCUGGGUUGAGAAAAGGCAUUCAUAGUGCUUUUCUUUUUGUUUUAUAGAAAAGAUCACUUGUUGAAGGCAUGUGCGAAGAUCUUGGUUUUAGGCAAUGAUUAUCUAGGGUAUUAUCUGGGUUUCUCUCUUCCUUCCCUCUCAAUAGUACAUCUUACAUUCCAUUUUGUUCAGUAUAUAUGGUAUACUCUUAAGUUUUAUGUUUCCAACAAUUUUUCUCAGCAGAAUAAAGUCACUACCUAGGUGAGGGCCCUUCGUGCAGACUGUAUAAAGGAAAACCAUUUUGAGAACCUGAUGUUGUGCUUUAUGGGCUAGUUUUUAAAAUAAUUGUGUGAAGAAGAAAGAACUAUGGCAUCACCGAGAGUCAGAUGCAUAGUUCAAUCCAUCUUUUUAUGUUGGAUAGAACUAAAAUUUUAGUGAAGGGAUUUUCCUUGUAGAAGUAUCUCUGCCAUCCUUGAAGGACAUUAGCCAUUAAUGUUUCACUUUGAAUUGAAAAAGUUGCUACGUUUUUAUGCACUGGAAUUUGUAUAAUAAAGCUUCUUGUGAGCUUCUUGAUUGAUAAACUUUAGAAAUCCUUAAAAUGUUUUAUUUUUAAAGGAAAUACAUAAGCAUAAUAAUUAAAUUAGGUGUUCUUGGUUUUGUUUCAUCAGCUCUGGAGGGGUAAACUUUGCCAUGCUAGAAUAGUUGUAAUCAGCUGAGGGAGACAAAUAUGUGUGCUUGCACAACGAGGUUGGUUUUGGUUCUACCUCUAUUGGAUAAGAACUUAUCACCAGUAGACAAAUAUCAUCUCAAAAGUACCUAUUUUAUGGUAAUAGUAAUCUUGGAGCUAUUACUGCUUCCAGAGAUUUGAUUGUUUUUCCCACCUAAAACGUUGCUCCUUAUACUAGACUAUGGUUCUAUCAAAAGAACUUAUUUCAUGGUUGAGGAUCUUGGGGCUAUUGAUUUCCCUGAACAUGACUGUUCCAUCCCUCUAGAACCUUGUCCGUUUAUUUUGUAUGCUAUGAUCUUGGAUAUUGGAAAAGAGCUUCCUUGAAUUGGAAAAGACCUUUGGGUACCUUUACAUGAGAACUGUGUAUACUAGGUUUGCCAUUUUGGGUUCUGAGUGUGACUUGGUAAUGCAUCACCAAAAAGGGCCCACACUGUGUGCAUGUGUCGUAACAGUGACUUAAGAUUGAUGGAUAAUGCAGAAAUUUGGAUGUUAACAGGGUAGGCCCCUGGAGAAGAAUGUUAGUUCUUACUCAUGCCUAUUCGCUCUCAAAGGGAGACAGCAUCAGAUAUUUGAUGAAUCUGAUCUCAUCUCCAUGUCUUUCUUUUUUUCCUGAAAAUGUAGGACAAAGGAUGUUUUCUAAAGCUGUGAAUGGGAGCUUACUAAUUUAUUAGAGGUUUUAUAAUUUUCAUCCUCUCCUGUAGUUUUUCUCGACUUAUUUAAGCACUUGAAAGCAGAUGGGGUAUAGUAACUCCUGCUGGGACAAUUUGUCAGAAGCAUCCUUCUUCUAAUUUAUCUUAAUAUAAAUAGGUUCUUAUAUUUAUAGUGUUUUUGAGAAUGGGCUAACGAUGCUGAGACAACCUUAAUUCACUCUUGGCAGGUUUAACCAAGCUCGAGUCUCUUAAUAUCAAUUGUUGCAAUUGUAUUACAGAUACUGACAUGAAGCCUCUCCAAGGUAACUCUUAUCCUGUAAAACCUCUGGAUGAGUAGGAAAUGAAUGGGAAUGGAUGGUGACUCUUUACAGUGACUGAAAAAAUUGCUGAAAAGAUGCCAAGUAGUGCAUGAUAUAAUUUUCUGUUGUGCUAAGUAACGUCUGAUGUGAUUUUUAAUGGAGCUCUGAUUUAGACUAGUUUACCUGAUCAGUUGCAGUAGAAAGUGCUUUUUGUAUGUGAUCAUAUGUGCUAAUCUCAAAUCAUUCUGGAUUUUUUUUAUUUCAGGACUUGCAAAUUUGAAAGCUUUACAAAUUUCAUCCAGUAAAGUCACAGAUCAUGGUGUAAAUUUUUUGAAAGGUACAGUGGUCUUGGUUUUUAUCUUUCUUUAAGAACUUUAGAUUUGUAUUAUGAGUCUUAGAGCUAGUGUAUAUUUAUAGCUGUAUUGCUUUGGCAGAAGUUUUAUUUGUGCUUAAAUUUCUUAUCAAAUUUGAGCAAACUUUAUUCUUACCAAUAAUGAUGUGAAACUCAAAUGCUCCAUAUGUUUGUCUUAGAUAGAGAUAUCAAUAUUGGCUGAGGUCUGCAGGUUUGUUCUUGAAUGAUUUCUCUAAAAACAUUUCUUCCAGGAAGGGUGCAGGGAAGGAAGAACCUCGGAUGGGAGCUUUCAGAUUUGAAAAUCCAGUCCAAUUGAAAGACAAAAGAUAAAAAUCUUGUCCACUAGGCUGUAUUUGAUUCUAUGUAAGAGAGUAUCAAGACAGAACUAACUAAGUGUAGGGUUUUGAUUAGUGUCAAAAGGAGAAAUUUGUUCAACAUUAUGGUGCCCUGGGGAACUCAAAGAUGGGGUUUAUGAUGGCUUUUAAAUAGUAUAGAGGGAUCUAAUCCUGGGACAUGCUUCGUAAAAAUCAACAACACGAGCCCCAGUGGGUUAAGCAGAACUGUCUUGGAAAGUCGUCGUUUAUUGCUAUCAUGGCUCUUAUGUGAUUUUGGUCAGAAAAUUGGAUUUAGGAUCUCCAUGUAAUUGUUUAUUCCAGUCUUUUUUUAAAGAGUUUUUGCUAUCCGUGAGGAGUAUGUAACUUUUAGGCAUUUCAGUGUAAGCCACUAGUUAAAAAUAUUUACUGAGGGUACAGUUCAGUUUGUAAAAGGUAAUCUCUCAGGAAGAUUUUCUUGUCAAUCUGUCAACUGGUUUUUAUUGACUUUCAAUAAAUUAUUUUUUUAUGGGGUACCCGUUUGGAAGCACGAGUCAACCACAGGACUCUUCAAGCAUACAUCUUUUAGCAUGGUCCUUUCAGUAAUGUAUUUGUCAUUCUGAAUCAUAUUUGCACCAGAUACCAAAGCCAGUUGCUAUUUGAACCGCCUAUCUUUCAGCUAAUAUUCAUGCAUUUGUACAAUCUUCUUUGACUUCUGUUGAGAUAUCUGUUUGCAUUGCAGCAUUGCACAAGCUUGAAUUGCUGAACAUGGAGGGUUGCCCAGUUACUGCAGCAUGCUUAGAGUCUCUUUCAGGUUCAUAUUCUGCUUUGAUUAUCCGGAAUUUAUGUAUGUUUUUUACUAACCCCUUUGAUGCUCUUAUUCACUAAGCAGCAGGUCCUACUUUUUGAUGUUAUGCCAUCUUGAGUUGAUCAGUUGAAAUGUCUUUCCCAUUUAAUAGAUUGUUUUUACUUGAUUUCUGAAAGAAUCUUUAUAUAUGUAUGAAUUGGUGAUUUUCUGUAUUUGGGUCGAUACCUCAUUGUUGAGAACAUUUGUUUUGUCAUUUUGCCUCCUCCUGCUGAGUUUAUGAAACUUGUUGGCAUCAGAUGAAGCAUGUUGUUAUUGUCAUUUGUGUUAAAAUAUCGAUUCUUUGUUUGCUUGUUCAUGCAGCCCUUGGUGCCCUCUUAUAUUUAAAUUUAAGCAGAUGUAAUUUGGCUGAUGAUGGAUGUGACAAAUUUUCAAGUAAGUUGAAACACUUCGAUUGUAGACUCUUUUUUUUCCUCUUAAAUCAAAGGAUUUUAUUGACUAUGAAGUCUUAUCAUGUGAUGUUUUUAACAUCUUCUUGAAUGCUGUCUUUGUGAUAUUUAGGGCUGCAGGCUCUGAAAGUACUGAAUUUAGGGUUCAAUGAGAUCUCGGAUGCUAUCUUGGUAUAUUUAAAAGGUCUCCCCCCCCCAGCUCUUUGACUUUUUGUCUUCUCUUCUUGCUUUUGGCAUAUUUUUAAAUUUAGUGGGGCCUAAAGAUGAAAAUAUUUGGAAAUAUCAUAUAUACUUAUCCAUAGUUUAAACAGGUUUAACAAAUUUGGAGAGCUUGAACCUGGAUUCUUGUAGUAUUCGUGAUGAAGGGCUGGUUAACUUGGCAGGUUAGUGUUGUAUGUUGCAAGUUAUUUACUCUUUGUUGGUCAUUACUUGCUGCAUGGUACCAAGAUAUCAGAAAUACGAAGAUAUGAUUUUCAUGCACCGGUAUCAUCUUGGUAUCAGGAUAAUAGCAGAUUGAUUAUGCAAUGAACAUAAUGGUAACUGAUGCAUAUCCUUGUUUGCAUGACAUUUGGAUCCUUGUUCCAAGCCAUUGUUGUUGACCUAAUUUAACGUGUCUAACCAUCGUUAUUUUUGUUUCUAUUUUUUCCAAUUAUUGUUUAUCUGCUGAUGCUAAUUCUAAAUGUUGACUUAGUCAUUUUGGUGUUAAAUUUUCAGGCCUUAGUCGUUUGAAAUGUUUAGAGUUGUCUGAUACUGAAGUGGGAAGCAGUGGAUUGCGUCAUCUUUCUGGUUAGACAUUUUCCUUCUUGUUACUAAGUGAGUGGGUGCAAGAAAACUGGUGAAAUUUUGGUCAAAGCUGCAAGCAUGUAUACGCUUGAAAAAUUGGGUGUUGAUCUUUAUCUAGUUUGAAUUUGACAGACCAAUCUGUUCUGUGUUUCAAAUCUUAACUUUUGUUAGUGCUUGUUUUGUGCUGCUUGCUAUUUUAGUCGAUAUACUUCCACGAUAAUGUUAAGCCUCUUUCUAUUUUCUUUUUCUUUUUUUUUUUUAAAUAUCCUCCCCCCUUCUCUCUUCCCCCGAUGGACCCCCCAUGGGGAAGGGAGUUGGUUAGGCAAAUUUGGAAAGUUAUAUAGUGCUAAGUACAUGAUUUAUGAUUACUAUUAUACUUGUAUUGACUACUCAUAUUAGUAUUAUUAUUUAUCACUUUGUAGGAUUAGGCAAUUUGGAGAGUUUGAACCUAUCAUUUACUGUUGUCACUGAUGGUGGGCUUAGAAAGUUAUCUGGAUUAUCAUGUCUGAGGUCACUUAAUUUGGAUGUUCGCCAAAUUACUGAUACUGGCCUUGCAGCUCUCACCAGUAAGUAAUUCUGGGUGGUUAUUAUCUUCACUUUCCCAUACUUCCUCUAGGAAAUAUGCAUAGACUUCUAUCAUCAUCUGUUUAUGUCAGAACUAAUUUCCAUGUCCGCGUUCUUUGUUGACUGGCUGCUUGUGACCAACUAGUUUUAUUAAGUUGCCUUCCAGUUUUUAGGGGGUUAUAUCUUAAUGGUGCUUUUUGCUCCAUAGUUUAUUAGAUUCCAGAAUUUCCCAUCUUGCUAUAUGCUUGGUACCAUGUUUUCUAAAAUUUCUCUUUGAGCUGAAAUCUGGAUCUAGGUUUGUUUGGAUUCUUAUUGAUAAUAUUUUCCAUAGGAAAUGAAUUUUGUGCUUUCAAUAUGGUCUCAAAUCUGAAUUAAGAUUGUAGCACAGAAAUUCCAAUAAAUUAGCUGAUAGCAAGGAUUAUUCAGCAAAAUAUUGCUCCUCUAAAUGCUUUUGACUUUUAUUAUAAACUUUCUUUCUUGAUUGAUUCAGGUUUGACUGGAUUGACUCAUUUGGAUCUAUUUGGAGCUCGAAUCACUGAUUCUGGAACGAAUUAUUUAAAAUGUAUGUGGGUAGUGGUACUCUCUUAAUUUCCUCUGGGUUUCAGUUAUAGUGUUUUCCUUCAACCUUCUUUUUCUUCUUCUUUUUUUGGUUUUAUAUAGGAGAUUGAGACAUGAAUACAAUACUCAUGGAUUGCUUAUUUAAUUUAUCUGGCCUCCGCAGGAUGCUACUUCUGCAUCUUAAUGGAAAUAGGAUUGAGCGUUUAAUUUUUUUUCUCUUUCGUCUUUCUUUUUUGUUAAAGUUUUCCCGUCUUUCUGGUUUUUGAAUGUUGCAAGCUUUACCUUAUAAUAUGGAUUUUUUGUGCUGGCUUACAGUUUUCUAACAAAGGAUCUUGGGCAUAAACUGUUAGUUGUGUAAUCUCCUAAGUUGUCUGGAUUCUCCUUUCUCCUGGGUGAAAGGAAAGUGUGUUUUGACUGGUUUAAACUGCAGACCUUUUCUUGUUUUUCUUUUUGUGGGUUUUCAUUUGGGGCAGAGCGGGGUGUUCUUGAGAGCACCACUUUCUUUGCUUAGCUUUUGGCCUUUGACAUAUGCUUCCUUCGUUAUUUUCAUAAUACAGGUUUCAGAAACCUUCGUUCGCUAGAAAUUUGUGGAGGAGGAUUAACUGACGCAGGAGUGAAGAAUAUCAAAGAUCUCACUUCACUUGCGCUUCUAAAUCUUUCCCAGAACAGCCACCUGACUGAUAAAUCAUUGGAAGCAAUUUCUGGUAGUUUGGUGUAACCGUAUUACUUUCACUGCUAUCCAUUGCUAACAAGUUUGACUUACAAUAUCUUGUAAAUGCAGGGUUGACACAACUUGUCUCUUUGAAUGUCUCGAAUUCUCGUGUAACGAGUGCUGGAUUGCAGCAUCUGAAGCCACUUAAGAAUUUGAAGUCCCUUACCUUAGAGUCCUGCAAGGUAACUGCAAAUGAUUUAAAGAAACUGCAGGCAACUCACCUCCCAAAUCUGGUGAACUUUCGGCCAGAAUAGCACUGGGCUCCCUCCUGGACAACCAGAUUAUUGUGAAUAUCUAGAAUCUAGUCAGUGAUGGGAGUGCUACUGUGAAUGAUGAGUGAAUAAAUCUUGCAUUUGUUGAACUGUACAUAUCCUAGAUUCUAGAGUUGCUGUUAAGUUGUCUUUUGUUGGGUGUCCUGAACAUACUCUCUUAUGCUGCCAUAUGUGAAGCUUUCUUUCGCAUCGUGCAGUUAGUAUGAAAGAAUUGUAAAUAAGCUUCCUUGGCAAGGUUUGUUUUCUUGAAAUAAUCAUGUAAGUAUUUACAAUCAAGAAACUAUAUAAUUUAUGGAACACUUUUGUAAAUUCUCGAAUUAAUUUUCGUAGUUGCUAUCUUUGUGUGUUGAAAAUCUAGAAUAUCUUUUUUUUAUGUAUAUCCCAUGAUCUCUGCUAUAUCCCAUGAUUUCUGCUAUAUCCCAUGAUUUCUGCUUUAUUUUAGGAUAGAAUAAUUUACUCCUAAUGUAUUUUAGGAUAGAAUAAAUUAGCUCCUAAUUUUUAGGAAAUUACAGAUUUCAGGGAAUUGACAAAAGUCCAAUUUCAUUUGUAUAAAUGUUGUACAGAGUCUAGAACAAGAGAUAUGACAGAACAAUUCAGUUUUCUUUUUUUGUUCAUGGUAUCAGAGCUUGGGACCUCUUCUUGUCAGCCUUCAUUGCUGAGUGCUUUCCUCUCUUCAAGUCUUUAUUGCCAAGUGCAAUUUCCAGCCUUCAUUGCUGAUAUUUUUCAUUAGGCCUUCAUUGCCAAUUUUUCUUUGAAACCUCCAACAUGUCUGAAACUGAAACAUCAGAAAUCCACUCCAAUACCAAAUCAGAAGAGACCUCAAAUAUUCCACAAAUAGGGGAUUUGUAGAAUAUCCAGGCAGCCUACAGGCUCAACGGGAAAAACUAUUUGAAGUGAUCACAAUUUGUUCAAACAUUUCUCAAAGGAAAGGGCAAAAUCAGCCACUUGCUUGGAACUGGACCGAAAAAGGGAGAUCCUAAAUUUGCUGCUUGGGAUGAAGAGGAUUCUAUGGUCAUGUCAUGGCUGUGGAACUCCAUGUUACCUGAAAUAAGCGAUACUUGCAUGUUCCUAUCAACAGCUCAAGAUAUAUGGUCUACUAUUCGACAGACCUAUUCAAAGGCAGGAGAUGCUGCCCUAAUCUAUGAGAUCAAAACAAAGAUCUCAGCCACUAAACAUGGCAACUUUUCUGUUACUCAAUAUGCCAACCUUUUGCAAAAUCUAUGGCAGGAACUGGACCAAUAUCGGUGUGUUCAGAUGUUGUGUAGUGAAGAUGCAGCCACCUUGAAAAACUUUAUCGAAAAGGAUAGAGUUUAUGACUUCCUUGCAGGUCUGAAUGUGGAAUUUGAUCAGGUCAGAGUCCAGAUAUUGGGGAAGGAAAGAUUAUCAUCUCUGAAUGAGACAAUAUCAUUGGUUCGAGCUGAAGAGAAUAGGCGAGAAGUCAUGUUAGAGCCUAAAACAUUAGAAGGCUCGGCAAUGAUUUCUACAAAGUCAAAUAAAGAUACAAUUUGGUGCACGUACUGCAAAAAAUCACGCCAUACGCGAGAUGAUUGCUUCAAACUCCAUGGGAAGGAACAAGUCCUUAGUCGUAAAGGAGGAUUCAAAGGGUGAAAAGCCCACUUAACUGCUGGAGAAGACCAAACACAAGAAAAAUCCAACCAGACUGGUAUGGGAGAAUUCAAGAAAGAAGAAAUUGAAAAGCUAAGAAACCUCCUAAAUUCCCUUGAAAAGUCCUCUAGUACGUGUUCAUUGGCUCAAUCAGGUAAGUACCUUAACUCUUAUGCUUUAAGUGCCUCAAGCAUGUCUUCUCUAGGCUCUUGGGUCAUCGACUCAGGAGCUACUGACCAUAUGACUCACAGACCAAUCAGAUUUAGAACAUACAACCCAUGUCCUGGAAAUAGAAAAAUUACUGUUGCGGAUGGAUCUCCUAUAACUGUUGCAGGCCAAGGGACAGUAAAUCUAUCAAAUUCUUUGUCCCUAAAUAAUGUGUUGCAUGUCCCAAAAUUGUCCUCCAAUCUCAUAUCCAUCCAUCAAAUUACCAAAGAUCUGAACUGUAGAGUAAUUUUCUAUACUACUCACUGUGUUUUUUAGGAUUUGGUUACGGGGAGGACGAUUGGACUUGCUAAGGUGAAUGACGGGCUUUAUUACCUUGAGGAGAUGAGUGGCAACAAGAAGAACAAAAAUCAGUUAUCCUCACCUGCUCCUCAAAUAAUAAAUCUGAAAUUUGGCUUCAUCAUUUCCGUCUUGGUCAUCCAUCUUUUAUGCUACUUAAAAGCAUGUUUCCUUCACUUUUCAAGAAUGAAGAUGUUAGUAGUUUCCAUUGUGAUACAUGUGAAAUUGCUAAACAUCAUAGACUAUCAUUUCCAUUGAGUAAUACAAGAUCUACUAGACCUUUCUCUUUGAUACAUACUGAUAUUUGGGGACCUUGUAGAAUUUCUAGUAUUUCUGGAGCAAAAUGGUUUGUCACAUUCAUUGAUGAUUGUACUAGAACUACUUGGUUAUUUCUUAUGAAAGAAAAAUCAGAAGUAAGCAGUAUUUUUCCAAUGUUUCAUAAAAUGAUUUGUACACAAUUUGGAAGUUUGAUUAAAAGAGUAAGAUCUGAUAAUGCAAGAGACUAUUUUAAUCAAAUUCUCUCAUCUUUUUUCCAAAAAGAGGGUAUAAUACAUGAGUCAUCUUGUGUAGAUACACCCCAACAAAAUGGGAUUGCUGAACGAAAAAAUAGGCAUUUACUCAAUGUGACUCGAGCAAUUUUGUUUCAACAUAAAGUUCCAAAAACUUUUUGGGGGGAGGCUGUUUUAACUGCUGCACAUUUGAUAAAUAGAGUACCUUCAAAAGUACUAAAUAAUCAAAGUCCCAUUGCUGCUCUUUCUGGUUUUUACCCUGAUUUUAAUGUCUCUUGCACAUUGUCACCAAAAGUGUUUGGUUGUGUUGCUUUUGUACAUGUUCAUGCACACCAAAGAGGGAAACUUGAUCCAAGAGCUUUAAAAUGUAUUUUUGUGGGAUACUCAAACACAAAGAAAGGAUACAAGUGUUAUCAUCCUCCUUCAAAAAAAAAAUUUUUUACCUCUAUGGAUGUCACAUUUGUUGAAAAUGAACCUUACUCUCAAAGUAACAAUCCUCAUCCCCAGGGGGAGAGUUCUUGGGAAGAUAAGGAAUUUCUCCUUGAUCUUCAAAGUUCUACACUAAACUUAAAGUCUUUCAAGCCGGACCAUACACCAAAUUCUAAAGGAGAACAUACUAGCAGUGAACCUGAACCUGAAUUUGAAGUUGAACAUGCCAGUAAAGAAAUUGAACCUGAUCUUGGAGUUGAGGGAAAAUCUGGUUUAAAUCCAACUACACCACUCAAGGUCUACUCAAGGAAGAAAGUUCAUAUUUCUGAACCUGUGCAAAUCCAAGAAUCUGAACCACAAUCAGGUACUGAAAAUUCUGUUCCUUUGUGUGUUCAAUCUGACUCUGCUCCUUGUGAAUUUAAUGAUUUAGACCUGCCUAUUGCUGUUCGAAAAGGAACACGAGAAUGCACUAAGCAUCCAAUCUCAAAUUUCGUGUCUUUCCAUAGAUUCUCUCCACAACAUAAAACUUUCCUUACCACCAUCAAUUCUAUUUCAAUUCCACAAACACUACAAGAGGCACUUAGAAAUAAGAAUUGGUUACAUGCUAUGAAAGAGGAGAUGAAUGCCCUAGAGAGAAAUAAGACUUGGGAAAUUGUAAACCUACCCAAAGGAAAGAAAACAGUGGGGUGUAAAUGGGUGUUUACUUUGAAAUAUAGAGCUGAUGGUUCAUUAGAAAGGCAUAAAGCUCGGUUGGUCGCAAAAGGAUAUACACAGACAUAUGGGAUAGAUUACCAAGAGACCUUUGCACCCGUUGCAAAAAUGAAUACUGUCCGUGUUCUUUUGUCUUUAGCCGCUAACUUUGGUUGGUGUUUACAGCAAUUUGAUGUGAAGAAUGCAUUCUUACAUGGGGAUUUAGAAGAAGAGGUGUACAUGGAACCUCCACCGGGUUUUAAUGAAAUGUUUUUUGAAAAGAAAGUGUGCAGGUUAAAGAAAGCUUUAUAUGGAUUAAAACAAUCGCCAAGGGCUUGGUUCGGAAGAUUUACUAAAGUGAUGUUAGCAAUGCAAUACAAACAAAGUCAAGGAGAUCAUACUUUGUUCAUAAAACAUUCAAAAGGAGGUGUUACAGCUCUACUUGUAUAUGUAGAUGACAUCAUCAUCACCGGGAAUGAUCCAAUUGAAAGAGAAACACUCAAAAAGUGCUUAGCAAAGGAGUUUGAAAUUAAAGAACUAGGGAGGCUGAAGUAUUUUUUAGGCAUUGAGGUGGCAUACUCAAGAAAAGGCAUCUUUGUUUCCCAACAAAAGUAUGUCUUAGACUUGCUUAAAGAAACAGGCAAUCUUGGAUGCAAGGCAGCAAGCACACCCAUUGAGCCUAACUUGAGAUUGAAUGAAGGGAAGGAUGAUAUCACAGUAGAUAAGGGAAGAUAUCAGCGGUUGGUUGGGAAACUGAUAUACUUGUCCCAUACAAGGCCGGACAUAGCAUUUGCUGUAAGUGUAGUAAGCCAAUUUAUGCAUGAUCCAAGAGAGAAACACUUGCAGGCUGUCAAUAGAAUUCUAUCCUACCUCAAAGGGACACCGGGUAGAGGAAUUUUGUUCAAGAAAAAUGAAGGAUUGCUCAUAGAGGCUUAUACUGAUGCUGAUUAUGCAGGUUCUGUUGUAGAUCGUAGAUCAACUUCAGGAUAUUGUACAUUUCUUGGUGGGAACCUAGUGACAUGGAGGAGUAAAAAGCAAUCGGUUGUUGCAAGAUCAAGUGCUGAAGCAGAGUUUAGAGCUAUGGCUCAUGGAGUUUGUGAAUUGCUAUGGCUCAAAAUAAUACUUGAUGAUCUUAAAAUCAAGAGUGAAGGACCUAUGAAACUCUAUUGCGACAACAAGUCUGCCAUCAACAUUGCACACAAUCCAGUGCAACAUGAUCGCACAAAGCACAUCGAAGUUGAUAGACAUUUUAUUAAAGAAAAGCUGGACAGUGGCAUGAUUUGCACUCCAUAUGUAGCAUCAAAUAAGCAAUUGGCAGAUGUCUUAACUAAGGGAAUGCCAACUUCCAACUUUGAAGACAUUACAUGCAAGAUGGGAAUGGAAAAUAUCUAUUCACCAUCUUGAGGGGGAGUGUUGAAAAUCUAGAAUAUCUUUUUUUAUGUAUAUCCUAUGAUUUCUGCUAUAUCCCAUGAUUUCUGCUCUAUUUUAGGAUAGAAUAAUUUACUCCUAAUGUAUUUUAGGAUAGAAUAAAUUAGCUCCUAAUUUUUAGGAAAUUACAGAUUUCAUGGAAUUGACAAAAGUUCAAUUCCAUUUGUAUAAAUGUUGUACAGAGUCUAGAACAAGAGAUAUGACAGAACAAUUCAGUUUUCUUUUUUUGUUCAUUGUGAUUAUUAGGUAGCUUGUAGCUCUGGCAAAAACGUUCCACUGAUUACCAGUCUUUCUGAGUAACUCUCGGCCAGAACAAUGUACUGGUGUCUGGUGAACUCAAAAAAUGGCAGGACUGUGUAUUGGUGUCUGGUGACCAAGUAGCUGCAAUUGACGUCUGGUGAGGCUAUUACAUGUACUCGGGCUUGUCUAUUUGCAACAAUGGCGGCAAUUGCUGGGGAGUUUGUGGUUAGAACUAUGAAACGGCAAACCUUGGAGUGUUGGACAAACACAAUUGCCCGGGUACCUGAUUUGGGUUGACAAUCAACUUUCCCUUCUGUUUCCCAACAAAUACGAGAGGAUAUGCCAAAUGGGGCAGAUGACUUUGGAGAGUGUGUGUGUGUUCCUCUACUGCCACUAAAACCUCAACGUUUAUGAGGGUUGAAAGUAAAUAUAAGAUGCAUAAAAAACUUGAAGAUUUGUUUAGGCCACAUCUUGAUUUACUGUUAAAGAUCUUUUCCACAUACCCAAAUACACAAAAGGCAAAUAAAUAAACUGCACAUGAAAAAUGAAAAAAAUUAUUUAUAAGCAACUCAGCAACUGUCGGACUAAUGCUAUGCAACCAGCCAAAAACAAAUCUGACAAAGAAGGUGGCAUCUGCUCGAGCAGAAUUUCCACGCUGAGCUGGGCUCUUGAGUAAUAGUUGAAAUCAACCAUUUAAGGGAUUCAAAUUUUUCUACUUCUUGUGCAACAGAAUGGAGCUUGCCAAGAAACAAAACCAGGUAAAAUUGGCAUUUCCCCAUCUAUCCAGUCAUCUCUGCGCCUGAUCAGAGCUUGAGCCUCCAGCUGCACUCGCUGGUAAACUGCUUGCAGAUCCAUUAUCGACCAGUGGAGGGACACCCCAUCUGCCAUCAGAUUCAAGGGGCUCAAAAACAUGGACCGCACCAUCUGAUAAACCUAUAGCAAACUGGUUUGGAUCCUGUGGAUGUGCAGCAAUUACAAGUGGCUGGACAUUGGAGUUGCUGCACAGGAAGUGAGAAUUUUUGGGAAUGAUUAAUACACAGCAGAAGUAUGAAACGCAGAGAAUUAUUUACACUAAUACGCAUAGUGCAGGAGUACCUUAUACUGUUGGGAAGAUAAGCAGGAGGACUUAUACGACAUCUCAUUUGUAAGUGAGUUGCUGUGAACACGCACACUGCAGCAUCUAAGAAGCUGGCAUACACCAGCUGGCUAUCGCAAGAGAAUGUUGCAUGAGAAAUUGGAGCACCAGAUUCACGCGGAAGCCACUAUAAGGAAUCAAAAUAUCAGCCUGAUAGCAGAGGGAAGUUCAACAGCUGAGUUUACAUGAAUCGGCAACUUACCUGCUUGACACAUUCCAGUUUUGUUGUCUCAUAUAUGGCAAGCUGAGUCUCGUGGACAACCAGGAAGUGAAUCUGAUCCUGAUGGAACUGCACACGAGUGUCCGAUUGUGCCAUAGGUGUCCUGCCUGAAGGAAUUUGCAAAAAUCUAGCCUUUUGCUUUUCCCAUCCAUCCGAGUUCCACACACAUAGCUGCAUAGCAACAUAAUUAGUUAAAAAAUCAGAACAGAAUCAGACAUCAGUCAGUAGUGAUUCAGAAUUCAAUCACUGCUAAUAGAAUGGUUUCAAGAAGGCUAUUUUGAGAAUCAAAUCCAAUGGGAAUCAGGGAAUUCCAUGCAACAAAGAAAAAGCACACUAAGCCAGGCACUUGAAGUUAAUGACAUUUGCAUGGUUGGCUUGUUAGACCCAACCAUGCAGAGCGUCCAGCCUGAUUUCUUUAUUUAAUUUAGCAGGAACAAUUGCAAAACAGUUCCAUCACAAGAACUAAAUGACUGCAGGACACAGAAUAGUUGUUAACCUGCGCAUCUGCUCCUGAUGAGACUAACACAUUUAGUACAUGGGAGAAAGCAAGGCCAGUAAUUCUUUUAGAAUGGCCUUUUAGCUUGCUUUUCACCUGCAACAACAGAAACGGAAUUAUUUCAUUACAGACUUAUUCACUAGAGUCACAAGGAUACAGUAGAAAAGCAUGUCUACACACCUCAUCUACACGAACGUUGUAUAUCUGAAUAGUUGAGUCAUCCAUGCCAAUAGCAAUAAUGUUGUUAUCUUGAGGAUGAAAUGCUAAGAAAGUAGCUGCAGGAGGUGGAGGCAUGAAAGUUGUCAUUGUCUGCAUUGUCCAGAAGAAACUGAGAUUAGUCAAAUGAGCAAUGAGCAUGUAUGAUAGCAUUCAAGGACGACAAUUUAUAAGCAUUUCGCACCUUAAAUGUCAUCAUAUUGAACAGGGAUAUUUUUCCUCCUGACGCUGACAUCACAUAAGAAUCAUUCUUAGACAGUGCAAAGCAGUGUAUAGCCUCCUCAGGACUCGAAUCAAUUACAUCAUUUGUCAUUAAUAUGCCACUUGCUGGUUGCCAUAAUUGAGGGGACGUACUGGCAGUUGCCUACAGAUGAAACAACAGUUUGUCACUAAGAUUUCAAAUUCCAAAUGACCACUGAAAGAGGUAAUUUUGAGUUUCUUAUACCUUGCCACUUGAAUUACGGUCAUUUCUCUGCCAUUUCCAGAGCAGAUGAAUGGCAUUUGAUGCUAAUGCUAAAAUGGCACUACCUGAAUUUGUAUACAUCAAUCUUGAUAUCUGGCAAGGCAAAUGACCGAGCUCUCAAUCAGUGAGACUUUAUAUGACCAACACAACGGGGAGCUUAUUGAGAAACUGAUAUAUAUAUAUAUAUAUAUAUAUAUAUAUAUAUAUAUGAAACAAGACAAUGAGUAAGAACUGUUGUGGUGGGAAGGACCUUUGUCACCCUCAGAUUCUCUGGAAGCUUCAAUGACCGGCACUGAGAAGGUUCACUAAUUUCGGUGAGCUUCCAAAUUUUGGAUUUGUCAUUUGUUUCUUCAUUGAGUCGAGGUUUGACAUCUCCCAGGUUUCUUGAUUCUCCAUUCUAAUGAAAUAAUUCACAUGCCACCAGAGAUAUCAAAUGCUUGAAUUUGCAAGCAACAUGAAAUGUCUCAUGUCUAGAUGGUUUAGUUUACCAAGGGAUGAAUGCUCCUUAUAACAGUAGUUACUGAUUCCAAAGAUCAUUAAAAUAUUCAAUUUGGAGAUUAAUAGUUGAAGUGUCCAUAGAUACAAACCACUGCAGAAAUACUGACAACAGAGGCUACCCUGUCUGCAAGUCCUGAACUAUUAGUAGCUGCCGCUGCUAUUGGAUUCAACGAGGGCUGUAGGAUAUGAAAAUAUAGCACAUUCUCAAGUCAUGGUUCCUUCAAGAUUCAGGUUAAUAUUUAGCAAGCAAAGAUAUAUGCAAAUACAUAUAUAUACCACCUUGGUUGCAGCCUCAGCUUGUGAUGCAUCAUAAGCAAGAUUUUCAAAUGUUCGCAGCAAUCGAAGACCAUCAUUAUUUGCUAGAAUUUUGAUCCCAUUUUCAUUGGUAGAAACAGCCAACAGGAUGCCCUCUUUAUUGAACCUGAUUCGAGGGCUUGCCUUUGAUGAGGGAAAAGGAAUGGAGACUUAGUCCAAACUUGUAGCACAGUCAUGAUUAUUCCAGCUUUAACAUAUCAGGAAGAUCUAAAAGAAAAAAAGAAAAGACUUACUGGGAGACCUCCAUCAGCAUCAAUAGUUGUCAGAAGUUGAACAUUGUCCAUAUCCCAAAACUUGACGGAGAAAUCAUCACCAGCUGCCAAAAACCGGUUCCUAGUUGUAUCAAACUGCACAACACCCAGCGAACGUUUUCGAAAGCCUUGGUAUGUCCUCUUCACAGCACCUUCACUUUCAUUCCAUUCAACAAUGUGGGAUUCCCCAUCUUUGCUGGUCCCACAAGAAAAAAGCCUGGAAAGCAAUCAACCCGACCAACAAAGGAAUAUGGAAAAAAAGACAAUGAAAAGCUUUCAGUAUAAUUGUGGAAGAUUCUGGAAUAUAUUAAACAUAAUUAAUGAGCUUAACCUCGUUCCAUCAGCACUAUAGGCCAUUGUUGUACACCAACGGCCAGGCGCAUCAUAGUCAACUCGUGAUCCCAAAUUAUCAUAUAACCAUGCUUUAAUUUUCCCAUCUAGGGCUGUUGAAAAGAUAAACUGAAAUAAAAAUAAAGGCACAAGUAAGCUGAUGCUCCUGGAGCUUAGAAUAAUCAAUAGGAAUAUGACAUUUAAUAGCUUUACUACCUGAAUAUUUUCUUUGUAGUGGGGGCACACAGAAUAAACUGGAGCCUCAUGACCUUCAAAGGUAUAUUGUUUUGAACCACUUGCCGCAUCCCAAACCUAAGAUCAUCAAGGACGAGAGGAAGUUUCAAAUAAUCAACUACCAACCAUUACAACUCCAUGACAGCAAAAGGAAUACCUAUCAAUGUCAAACCAACCUUAAUUGUCUUGUCAUCACCACAUGUUAUCACGCAGAGCUGCUUGUGGGGGUGAGAGAAUGCUAGAUCAUUGACUCCACCUACAUGAGCAUCAAUCUGGAAAGGCAUAGAUCAGUGCAAGUUGAACAAUAAUGGACUGACAAGGUUUAAAUUAUUCUCAUAAUAUACCUCCAAAUGCUGUCGAAUAUCAUCAUUGCCAUGAUAAGAGUAUAUUUGUACAAUGUGCCUUGAAUAUGCAACUCCUAUUUAAGAGAAAAAGGGAAAAAAAAAAUACAUCAGACUUGUGUCUCAAAAUUCAAUGUAAAAAUUUUUUAAAAAAAAUCAAAUCCCUACCAAAUAAAGAUCCAUCAGGGCUCCAAAUCACACGGUUAACUGAGACAUGAGGAUCUUUCACUAGAGCAGCCUGAAAUCAACAAGAAUGCAUCAAUUUUUGGAGAGAUGCGACAAUGUCAUUAAGCUAAAGUAAAUUCACAAAAAAGCAAUGGCCUGUUUAUAACACACAGUUGACAAUCUGACCUGCAGAGGCAUAGUACAUGCACUCAGGUCCCAAACUUUGAAGUUCCUUAGUAUCAAUCUCUUCCUGGAGCCAACUUCCCAAAGUCCAGUAUCCCCCACAUUGGUACCCACUGUUGCAUCAGAUUGCAUGAAUUUAAAUCAAUCAUUAGGAAAUACAGCAUGAUCACCAAGCAAACAUCCCGGAUCCAAGUUGUUUUGGGGAGGAAUCACCGCAACCAUACCUAGGAGUAGAGUCUGUUGGAUAGGAUGAAAGUCCAUGCUCAUAGGAGAUGAUCCUUGAUUCAGAGUUCGUGCCAGAGUCUUUGGCAAAUCAUCAGGAACACUAAAUGCUUGACUAUGACCAUGUCCAGGAAAUGACACUGGCAGCACAUUGACUGGAAGAUUUACCUGCACAUGUUGAACACAGCAUAAAGGAUGACGUACCAUAUGGUACUCUUAAAAGCUAAACUCAGAAAGCAAAAUGUAUUGGAUUCAAUGAGCUACCUCUUCAGUCAAACUUAUAGGCCUUGUUCUUUUGCUUAAUUGAUCAGAAUCUCCAGAUGGGUAGUCCACAGAAGUUGCUGGCGGAGUCCUAGGAUGCUUAAGAACGGCUACACAAGGCAAUGGAAAAUUUUUUCUUGUGAGGAAUUCUACUAGAAGUAUACUUGACAUGUUGAAGUUUAAAAAUAUUUACCUGGCACAGGUGGAGCACCAAUACCUAUAGGUCCACCGGAAACAGCUGGAUGAGUAACUGCAGGUGGAUUAGACAUCCACCCAGCAAGAGGAGCUGGAACUGGUGCUGGAGUAGGUUGAAAGGGCUGAAAAUAUUACCCAAUAGAAAAUAAGUACAAUAAGUGAGAAUGAGAAAAAUUAAUAAUUGCUGAAUGGGUUCAGAAUACUAACCCCAUGUAUGCCAAGAGGAGGAAAACCCCCAGCUUUUGGUACUGAUCCAAGCAAGGGAUUGCCUGCAGGAGAGGGAGCACGAGCACCAUUUGCUUGUCCACAAGAGUGGUCAACAAAAAGAGUUUUAAUGUCUGGAUUUGGCCUGGGGUUUUUACAAAGUUGGUGCUGCCAAUUUAAGCUGCAAUAUGCCCACAGUGCCAGUCAUGACAACUUCCAUAUUAACGUUAAAGCUCUGGCACUUGAACUGAACGUUUAAGCCCAAGCAAAAGUUUACCUUUGAUUAAUAAGAGUCCGUAACCUGGAAUUUUUAAGGUUAGGAAACUGCAAUUUAUCACGAAAUAGGGGAUUUGCUUCAAUAAGCUUCUUGAGCUCAACCAGCAUAAUUGCUCGGGCUGAUUUAGUAUCUCCAUAUUUGGAAAGCUGCUCAUUCUCUCUAAAACAAUGGAAACCCAACUUAGUAGAUAUUGCAAAAUUAACAAAUAAACUAUACAAAAAUGUUGUGAGUUAAUACUUGCCUAAAGUUCUCCAGUGUCAGCAGCUGAGUUAUCUCCUUAAAAAGUUCUUCGUUAAAGGAAGCAAAGACUUUAAGAUCCUUGACAAGAAUUUCAACAGCCUUGGUCCGGUCAUGCCUGCAAACAAACAUCAUUUCACAUGAAUACACCACGAAAAGUGAUCAUUUUUACGCUAAUAAUUUGACAUUUACUAGCAACCACAAGCUUACUUAUCCAAUGCCUCAAGAUAUUUCUGCUUUCUGAUCUCAAAGAAGAUCUUCAUUGAAUAGCGGUUAUCAUCAACUUUUGUGAAACCAGAGAGGUACUUCUCAACUUCAUCCCAAUUACCAUUAUGCACUUCAUCCUCAAAGUAUUUCAUGUUAAAGAAAAACCCAGAUUCUUGUUCAAGCCUAUCAUCAGAAAACUCCAUAAUUAUUACCAUUUCAUUGGAAAAAUGCUCAAAAUAAAUACAUGCAAAAAAAAGAAGCAUAUUAAAAAAAAAAAAAGAAUACACACGUGUAUAUUUGUGAUAAAUGCAAAAGACCACCUACUUGUGGACUGUCUCCUUGAACUUUUCCUCAUCCAGAAACUGUAAGAUCAAGAACACAAGUUCUCUGCUGAGUGAUGUCAUUGUUAUCAAGCUACCUUUGGCUUCAAACACCAGAGCCACAAUAAACAGCUAAGAUCAUAGCAGAUCUGCAAAACCCACAAAUUGAUUUACAAUAUCAUACCUAUGCAAAUAAAUAAAUUAAUUAAAUAAUAGGUCAGUGCCACUAAGACUUUGUUAAUUAGCGGGUCCAAGCAUUUAAUUAUUGCGGGACACAACCUUCUAAACUCUAAUAAAAUAAUCAUAAGAUUUAACUUGUCCUUGCCCAAAAUAAAGGUCCCUCUUUUAACCUCAACUCCUCUUGCCCAAAGAGAAAAAUAACCCAAGUCAGAUCAUAGAACUGAUCUGCAAUCCAAAAUAGAGGAAAACAAGACAGCACAAGAUCAUCAUCAUACAGCUUUCAGCAUGCACCGACAAAUACAUGUGGAAAGGUUGAGCAGGAAAAAGAAAAGCAAAAAGAAAAAUAAAGACUUCAACUUUAACGGAUCAGAGAAAUGAAAGUUGCUUUAAAACACCUUGGAAUCCAAGAUGAAAAAAGAAAAGAGGACGCAAAUGAAGAACCCAAAAAGCAAGUCAAGACUUCUCAUCCAUAAUAUAGAACAGAGGAUGAGAAGAAAGUAAAAGAUUUUUAAAAAAGAAAAAACACAGUUGUACAUAUACGACAUAGUAACAAAGAUUCAGAAAACUUCUACCUUAAACCAGAACAGGAACUCGGACAGGGAUCAAAAGUCCUAUUUCUGCUGGAGAGCUUCUAUCUCUACUUUAUCUCACUACCCAAUCUUGGAGAAAUUAAAAUAAGACCUGAGUUUUGUUUAGCAAAUGUUCAUUUUUAUAGGCAGAUAAGUCAAGCAAGGUAAUGGUGAUAAGUACUUGCGCUUAUCAGUAUCUGAAGCUGUGCUUAUAAUAAGUCCAAGUACUGUGGGCCCCACUGAGCCGGCUACAUUUUGUCUGACUCAAUCGGCUUGGAAUCUUCAGCUAAGAGCUGUCUCCCUUAAGUUGUAAACAUAAAAAACGUGGACCGUACCUUAUUGACGUACGUUAGCAAAUUCUGAGCCGUUGGAUGAUACUGCGGACCGUUUAUUGGGGCUGUGAAUCGGGGGUUGUGAAGUGAGGAAUGCCUGCAGCUGAGAAGCAGGGAGUAAUAAUUCGGACAGUGGCUCUGGCUCUGGCUCUGGCUCUGGCUCUGGCUCAGAUAAUUAUAGAUCCCUUCCACUUUAAAGUUACAAAGGUUUCUGGGUGACGCGCUUCAAAAAUAAUUGGUCCAGUUUUGACCGCAAAUUACAAGACUUUGCCAUUGAAUUCUCUUGUCUUUAUUAUAACACGAGAUGCACUGGCGAAAACGACAGCAGAUGCAAAAUCAAUUUUUCGCCGAUAUUCUGGCGAGAGGAUUUUCCACAAACGAGAACAGAGGACUUGCAAACGUUUUCUCUGGGAAAAUACCGAGUCAGUACACCGUGUCACUUUAGCGUCUCAUCACUAUUAAGCACUGCUUGUUCUUUCUAAUUAAUGAGUCAUGGAUAAUCUAAAGGAGGGAAAGGUCAGACCACUGAUUAAAGGCAUGAGUAUAUUAUUGUCUUGAUCUGUUGUCCACGCGCACGUGGAGGCUUUUGAACUACACUCUAGCCCGAUGAAUGUUGCAUCCUGCAUGGAGAGAUGUCUUUGCUGACAGAAAGAAAGAAAGAAAGGAAAUUUAUCCUUUAACAAAUGGACAUAAAUGAUGUAUACAAGAAGGAAGGAAAAUUCAAGAGUUGUGCGAGUCACCUAUGCCAUCCCUUCUGGACAUGUGCUUUAUCUGUUUUUAGCGCAAAAUGUCAAGAGACUCGGGAUCAAAGAUUGAAAAAAAAAAUUUUUUAAAUACACUACAAAGCCAAGGGAGUUUGUUCGGAUUGAUAUGAUUUCAGAUAAAAUAAUUUACUUCAUAAAUUUUAAUCACCUUGUUUUUUCAAAAAAAUUUAUCUUUUUGUUACUCCCUCCAUCCCAUUCAAAAUGUUAUUAUGUUUUUCAUUUUGAAAUAUCUCAAAACAUUUGUUACGGUGAAAAAAGUAAAAGUAUCUUUUAGCCCUUUUUUUUUUAAAUAUAAUCAUUCUUUCUAAUCAUAUGUAUGUUAUCAUUUAAAUUAAAAUUUUAAAUUUAUAGAAAUAAAAUUGAAAUAAAAAAAACACAAACAUCACACAAUCAAAUCACACUUACUAUUUUUAAAAAUUGAAUUCUUGAAGGAUAAUUAAAUAAUUGGGACGGAGGGAUUGUUUCUGCGAUACAGCCUUCGUCUGCCCAACACCGUGAACCAUAAAUAGUUGCUACCGAAAAUUUGCGCUUGUCCAAUGUCGUGACCCUUCAAGUUAGGCCAUGAAUGUUACGGCACUUUCCGUCUUUCUUUUUCUUUUUGUUUUGAUUUCUUUGUUUGAUUGAUGUACGUAAUGGCAAUUUCGUGUUGCUAUGUAAGUGGACAGCUUUCAUGUCAAAUUUUAAGGAUUGAUGCUGGAGCUGUAGGUGGGUGGGGACUAGGGAAAUGUUUUGACAGUGGUCCAUCUCGUCCGAAUCAUGACAUCCAAUCUAGACAUUCUAGACCUGAUCAUCGUUGUCUCACACUUCAGUACUGAAGCAGGUUUCGAAGCUCUUUUUUACCAGUUAAAAAUUUUGAAGCCAGUGGAUCUGGUCAUUCGCAAGUUUUAACAGUAGUAUUUUGGUCGUUAAAGCAACUAUGUACUUGUCUUCGAUCGGCAGGGAUUAGAUGCCUCUUAAGGCUCUGAUUAAGGAAACGGACUUGCGGGAGGUGUAGGAUGUAACAUUUCACGCGAAUAGAUUCCUAAAGACUUUUAUACUUAAUUCAAUUGUGUCAAUUGCAUGGAUUCUUCUAGGAAACAUGAUAACCAAAAAAAGAUUAAAAAAAUAUAUAUGGGUCUAAAGCUAAAUUUUAUUUGUAAAUAUGUUAAUUUUUUACCCUUGGAAUUAAAAUGUGAGGAUUUUUAUGAUAGAUUACCCUUUUUUUUUUUGUGUUGGUGUGGUUAUUUCACGUCUCACGAUACGAAAUAAGAAAAUAUUGUAUCGUGUACUUUAUGAUUGUUAUCUGGUAUUAAUCAUUAACUCUAUGCCAAUUAUGGUAAUCAUAUCUAAAAUUUAUGACCUUUGGCAUAUAUAUUGCAAAUCCAAUGAGACAGGAAGCGGUGUAGAAUCUACGCGUGCAUUUUUUUAAAAAAAAAAAAUUCAAGGAAAGACUCCAAUUCUUAUACUCGUAAAGAAGAAGAAGACAGAAAAGGAAUGAAUUGUGAAUAGAAAUUCGUUGCGGAAUUAAUAAUUAUCGGACUAACUUAAAUUAAUUAAAGUAAAUGCUUACAUUUGCAGUGUAUGCUGUCGCGUGUUGUGUGGCUGGCAUCCCAAAUCCAACAAUGGGCUGGACGAGGCAUUUCAUUAUUAUUCCGGAUUAAGCCACGCUCUUCAUUAGUUAACUCUUGUUUGGAUGACGUGGCGGCAGCCUUAUUUGGACGUGUUUUCCUUACAUUUAUUUCCAAACCAAUAAUAUUUUCCUUGUUUCUAAUCUGAUACACUUUGUCGGAUUGCGACGUGUUUGGUUUGCUGUGUAAUGCACAUGACUGCGACAUCCGAUAAGUAUCUGGGAAAAAGAAAAUUGAAAGCGAAUGCCCCAACUGCCCAUUUCCCAUUUGAAGACCAACAACACAUCAUUGAAGGUUUAAACUCCGUUGAAUUGCAAGGGAUUCUUUUCCUAUCAGGCAGUCUAAUGUGUUUUUUUCUUUUUUUUUUUUUUUGAAUUUCUUGUGAUUACAUAAAUAAUUGGCUAUUUUAACUUGAGUCUAAUAAUAGUCGUGCACGUCAAUAAUUAAGUAAUGCCAACAAACGAAUACCAACAAUCCAAAGACGCCAGGGCGGCACUAAUUGAUUCGGCACAACAAAUUACUUAGAAAAACACAUAAAAGAAAGGCGGCAGCAGUAAAAUUUAGGGUUAAUCAUAUUUUAUGCCCUUAAAGAAUACUCCAUUUCUCAGUUUACCCCCUAACCUUUAAUUUUGCUCACUUAAUCCCCUUUAGGACAAAAUUGCCCUUGCAUUAUUUUGACUUUUCAUUUACCUUGUUUUCCUUUUUUUAUUUCUUUUUCUCUUUCUUCUUUAUUCAAUUCUUCCUCUUUCCCAUAAAAAUCUUCACCUUAAUGAUUGAAAUUAAAAAAAGAGGAAUUGCAAAUAUCUAUCUUCUCCUUAAAUAAUUAAAAAAAUAUUCAAAUCACUUUCCUAAAAUACAAAUUUUUUAGCCUUUCAAUUCUUUUAAUUUUGGGUUUUCCUCUUUCCUUUCUAGUUUCUCAUUUUAUUGCCAAGAAAAUAUCUUAAAAUGAAAUUGUGACCUGAUUAAUAACCAUCAAUUGAAAUUUGUGACACGUGGCAUCAUACAAAAAAUAAAAUUUAGUUUUUGAUGCUUUUUAAACCUUCACCCAGAAAUAUGCAAUUACAAACUCAAAACAAAAAUUUUCAUUGAAAUGAAAUUUCUAUUGGGAAGGAAUAAAGUAGAGAAGAAAGAGAAAAGAAAUAAAAGAAAGGAAAACAAUUUCAUCUUAUGAUAUUUUCUUGAGAAUAAAAUGAGAAACUAGAAAAGAAAGAGGAAAACCCAAAAUUAAAAGAAUUGAAAGACUAAAAAAUUGUAUUUUAGGAAAGUGAUUUGAAUAUUUUUUUAAUCAUUUAAGGAGAAGAUAGAUAUCUGCAAUUCCUCUUUUUUAAUUUCAAUCAUUAAGGUGAAGAUUUUUGUGGGAAAAAGGAAGAAUUAAAUAAAGAAGAAAGAGAAAAAGAAAUAAAAGAAAGGAAAACAAGGUAAAUGAAAAGUCAAAAUAAUGCAAUGGUAAUUUUGUCCUAAAGGGGGUUAAGUAAACAAAAUUAAAGAUUAGGGGGUAAAUUGAGAAAUGAGGUAUUUUUUAAAGGGAUAAAAUGUGAUUAACCCUAAAAUUUAUGUUGCAUUCAACUUCAAAGUCUAUCCUGUAGAUUUAUCCUUCAAACUGGGAAGUGAUGAAUCAGGAUAAUCUCAAAUUAGGUUGUCGGCAUUUAUAUAACUUCAGAAAUAGGACAGCAUGUGACGAGCUCUGUACAGUUUAAACGAGUGAGGACUGAGGACAAAGCAAAUUAUAUCAUAUCACCUAUUCAAUUGAGAUGGUGGCAUUCCAUAUUACUAUUGCAUAUAUAACUUGGACGGUAUUUCAAUUUAUAAUUUAUUAAUUAUUUUAAUAUAUUUCUUCUUCUUCUUCUUCUUUCCUUUUGACAAACGAAAGUUGAGGUAAUCUAAAAAUCUACAUUACUUUAUACUUUGAUAUUUUACCUUCAAAUGGAUAAUUCUAAUACACUGGCUUUUAUUCUAAGACGUAAUUAAUUUUUAGGAAAAUUUUUGUAUUCAAUUUUACAAUUUUAAUCUAUAAAAUGUUAGAGGAAACAAAAAGGUUUUGUUUCAUGCCAAAUUUUAACUCUAAACUAGAGAAGCAUAGCAGUAAUUGUCAAUUUUAAUGUAAAUAUGAUGUAUUUGUUAAGAUUUGUUAGUAUGGCUCGCGAGCAAUUUGAAUCAAAAAAUUUUGAUUUGUAUUCGAGUUGAAUCAAAAGUAGAGCUUGAAUUCAAAAAUACUCAACUCGUUAAUUUGCAAGUUGGCUUGAUAUUUUAUAUAUAUAUAUAUAUAUACGUAUACAUUUUAUUUUUUAUUUUAAUAGUAUAAUUACAUAUAUUUCCUAAAAUUUUAUUAGUUGGUUAAAAAUUAUUUUUUAUUCAUUUUUAAAAAAAUAAAAUAAUUAUUUUUAUUUUUUAAAACUCGAGCUCGACUUGAAUUUGAGUUAAACUCGAGUUUGAACUUUACAUUGAGAGCUCGUCCAUCUUGCUUGAUAAAACUAAGGCCCUGUUUGAUAACCUAUUUUAACACUUAAAUUUAAUGAAUUCAAAUAUUAACAUAUUUUUUAUAACAAAAAGUUAAACACAUGAUUUAAUUAAGUGACACUGAAUUUUCUAAGUAAAAUUUGCUCCCAAAAUUAAGUGACAAACUAUUCACUUAUCACUGAAUGUGAUAUCCACUCAAAUAUAUUAAAUUUAAUACUUAACAGUUUAAUAAUUUUAUGGAUUCAAAUUUCAAUUUUAUCAAACGCACUCUAAAUCUCGAUUUGACUCGAUUAUAUCAAAAUGCGACUAGACUUGAUUCAUUUGCACUCCAUUUAUUAGGCAUUAGUUAAUAUCAAACUGGCCAUAUAAAUAUACAUAGUCACAUUUAUUAUGUUUCUAUAUUUAGAUACAUUUUCGAAUUAAUUGCAUUGUUGUAAACAAAUGGGUAAUUUCAUCACACGCCUCUUAAUCAAACCCUGUAUUUAUUAAAGGAAAAGGGAAAAAAAAAAAAGGGUAAUUGCAGAGUUGUUUGCGCCUCUCGAGCUUCAUCAACCAUGUGUACUUAAGUGAUAAGUUACUAAAUUUAAAGGACAAGUUUAGAAUGACACAUAAGGGUAGCAAAUUCUAGAUCCUACUAUAUAUAAGAUCGCUUUUAUAACCGGUGGGUGUGGAUCGGAAUGCCAAUCUCACGAGAAAGUUCAUUCAAGGUUACGUUACACAUCGCUUUCCCCAGUCCCAAGAGAAGUCAUCUCGAAAAAAUGAGACGAUACAUAUUCAACACAAAAGCUGGUAACGUCUGGAAAAUGACAUAAAACAUGAUCAUAGCACGAGAAAGUGAAAAACGUACGCUAUUUUGGUAAUAUCCUCUCCCCUGCAGCAGUGGUAGUCGUAGUAUUUAAAGGGGAGAGAGAGAGAGAGAGAGCAUAUUAAGGUGUCAGUGUCGGACAGUGCAUUAUUUACUUAAAUUCAAUUUUGGAGUAUUAUUGGAACUUGGAAGUGCGAAACUCCGAAAGUGGGCUUACGCCAUAAUAAUAUGACUUGUCCUUUCUGCUCAAGGAGGUGGAGCGGUCCCCACGUGUUCACUGUCCCAAAAUUGAAAAAAAUAAUAAUAAUAAUAAUAAAGAGGUAGACUAGUACUAGUACUCCCGAAAGAAAAUAGUACAAGACGAAGAUGGUCGCCUGAAAAGGUAGGUUUAACCGUUUAAAUACUCCACCACUUGAUCAAGUUACCUCAUGGCUCGUGGCAUUGUCAAUUGCUGACUCUGAUACUCUCCGGUCUCCACCACAAUUAGCAGCCCUUCCCUUCCUCCAUCAAUAUCUUUCCCUUUUGCUUCCUUGGGUGGAAAAGUCUUUCUCUCUCUUUUUUUUUUUUUUUUAAUAAUUUCCUCCGUCUGUUCUCCCUCAGGUGCUCAGUUAUAUGAGAAUUUUCAUAAAUGAGCUAUAGUCUCGAACACGUGAUCUAUCGACACGUCUUGAUUUUAGUGACAACUGGAAAAAUCAAAUUCAUCCGAACUUUUUAAUUUUUUUAAAAAUACCCAUUUUAAAAUUUUUUCAUGGUAAUAGUAUUGCCUAUAAUAAUUUACAUUAUUAUGCAAAUCACAAUGAGGAUGAAAAGUGAUAUACUGCUGUCCUAUAAAAUUUUUUUUAAAUAAUUAUUUUGUUCUUGAUUUUAUGUACAUGCCUGCCGUAUGAGUCUUGAUUUUAUGUACGCGACUAUUUUAUUUUAUUUUAUUUUUUUGCCCUUCCAGAAAAGGAUGAUUUUCUUGGUAAUGGGGAUCUAGUACAACGUUAUGUGGUAUUUUCUCCGUCUCAUUUUGGUAGUUCUAAUUUUUUUUUUUACACAGUUUAAGAAAAAGUAGUUAACUUUGUUUGAACAAUCAAUUUAGGUAACUAUUUUUCUAAAAUACCCUCACAUUAAUUAGAGUACAAUUUUAUGGAAACUUGAAUUGAUGGUAAAAAAAGAAUCAACUUUCAUUAAAUGUGAUAGAUUUAUAGUAAUAAUAACUUACAUUGAAUAAGGGUAUUUUAGAAAAAUUAAAAUAUAAAUACAUUUUUUAAUUAAAAAAUAAACUAUAAUUUGAAAUAAAAAAAAUAUAUAACUAUCAAGGUGGACGGAGGGAGUAUGUUUCCCGUACAGAGAAGCUGGUUUUUUCUUAAAUGAAGAAACGAAUGUAUUCUGCUAAUGUAGAAAACCAACAUAAAGGUGACAAAUGGAUAGUGGUGGGCCAAGCAAGCAAGGACAAGCAAACUUGUUAACCGGCCAGGCAUCAAGGGCAAAACCGGCAACAUAAUUUGUUGUGGGACCUCUCGGAAUUGACAAUGGCGCGAAAUGGUCAGUAAAACCUUCUGUUGGCGCCAAAGAAAUGCAAUGGCGCGAAAUGUAUUCUGACGAUUAAGAUAUUUCCAAAUUGCCCGCGUGCCACUGGUCAGGAGGGAGAUUUGUUAUCAAAACUUGGAUUUGUUUAAAGGCGUGCUCUAUCAUUUUGGCAAGUGGCGUGCUUUAACUUUCAUGAAAACCACACGCUUUUAAGUUAUUAUAAUUAAUUGAUAUAUAUGAGAUCAUAUUAGUAACUUUAAUCAACUAUGUUCGAUUUAGUUGACCAUGAACAAUCAUAUAAAUUAGUCCUAUUAAUAGUUGUAUAAAUAAGCCUAAGUAGUUAUAAUCGUUGGAAUCCACUAUCUGACAAUGAUCUAACAACAAAUUGAGAGAUAACAAUGAUCCAUAUCUAUCACCAUCUUAUGAGCUAGCAUCAAGGAAUCGACAAUAGAUUAGACCCUUAAUUAGUUAUAAUCGUCGGAAUUGACUGUCCAAUUUAAUUGUUAUAAUGAGUUGUUAUCAUCUUAGCCCAACAACGAAUUGGGGAAUUCAUAGGAAGAUGAUCCAUAUAUACAAUCGUCUACUUAUGAGGUAGCACCAAGGAAUCUAUAAUCAAAUUAGAGACUUAAUUAGUUAUAAUCGUCGGAAUUGACUAUCCAAUUUAAUUGUUAUAAUGAGUUGUUAUCAUCUUAGCCCAACAACGAAUUGGAGAAUUCAUCGAUUCCGAUGAUCCAUAUCUACAAUUGUCUACUUAUGAGUUAGCACCAAGGAAUCUAUAAUCAAAUUAGAGACUUAAUUAGUUAUAAUCAUCGGAAUCGACUAUCUGAUUAAUUGCUGUAAUUAGCUAUUAUCGUUAUAGUCUUACAACGCAUUAGGAAAUUCAUAACGAAAUGAUCCAUAUCUAUUACCAUUUUCUUAUGAGCAAGCACCACAUCUAUCGACUAUCGGAUUGAAUGCAUAAUUAGGUGGUAUUUGGUAAAAAGGUUUUGGUAUAGAGAAUUGAAAUAAAUCUCAUAAUCAUUGUUUGGAUUACUACUAUCGGAAUUGAAAUUUUGGAAUUAUAUCUAAAAAUUUGGAGUUUUCCAAUUCCCUAGUAAUUUGAAGGGUAUUGGAUAAAAGCCAAGUCUGAUUCCCUUUUAGAAACGAGGCUCGUCCCACUACUUGUUAAAAAUUAAUAUAUAAUUAUAUAAUAUAUUUAUAAUAAAAAAUGUAAAUGUAAUUAUAUUUAUAAAUAUUAUAUACACAUGUAUAAUAUAUUAUAUAAAUAUAUAUUAUAAAUUUAUUAAUAUUAUAUAAUAAUAUAUUAUAUUAGUUAAUUAAAUUCAUAAGGAGAGGAAUUAUCAUAUUAGGAGGUUUAAUCUUUAUUGCCUUAUUUUCUUCCAUCUUAGGAGUUUUAAUCUUUAUUACCUUAUUUUCUUUACAUGUAUAUUAGUACUAGUAUUCAUUUCAUUGAAUGUGAAUUAGUAACACUACUAGUUUUCAGUACACGCGUGGCACGUACUAGAUUUAGCAUUGUUACAAACUAGUAUAUCAUUACCGUGUAUUAUAUAUUAACUUUGGUUUACACGUGUAUUAAUUCAACUACUUAUAUCCAUUUAUUGGCAUCUCAAGACCGAUCAUUAAACACGAAUUACAGAGCAUGCUUGAACAAAAAAUACAAAAUAAAAGUCAAUGUUAAUGACGAUAAUUACUCUGCAUGCAUGCAAAAAUUGCAAAUUAAAUGAGCGUCUGGAUAACAACGCAUAACUGCCACGUUGGCAUAACAUAUUCUUCAAGUAUGAACAUGGCACGUGGUAAUAGUGAAUUCUUACAUUGUGAUGAAAAAAAAAAUGAUUCUACAACGAGGGCGUAUUGUGAAUGGUUUUCUGGAAUUGGGGUCUUCGCAUUCUCAGAAUGCGAGCUCAUUGAGCUCGCAUUUUGAGAAUGCGAGCUCAGUGAGAGCUCAACAUCAAAAUGCGAGUUCAGUGAGCUCGCAUUCUGAGAAUGCGAGUUCAGUGAGCUCGCAUUCUGAGAAUGCGAGCUCGCACUAACGUUGAAACCCGCAAGCGGGAUUCUGUGUUUUUUCUAUUUCAAGGUUAGCUCGCAUGCGGGUUAAUGUUAUAUUUGAGCGCGAGAAGAAAAAAUUGGUAAUUAGGCUCUUUGGGCAUUAUAAGUAAAUAUUUAAAUUAAUGGCAGUUUUAUUACACCAAUAUUAUUGUAUUAUCAUUAUUAUGAUUAUUGUAUUAUUUCUUAUGCAAAUAUAACAUUUAAUUAUUUAAAUUUGAUUUUAUUUUUACAAUUUAUAAAAUUUUUAUCACUUAUAUAAUAUUUUUAAAACCCUAAUACAUUUAAAUUUGAUUUUAUUUUUCAAAUUUAUAAGAUUUUUAUUUAAAAAAAUGGGAUACGGAUAAGAUAUCCGGUUGGUUCGAUUUGCAUAGGUGCAUAUGAGAAUAUCCGAAUACUCUUUAAACCCGCAUGCGGGUUUAAGGAGAUUAUGGCAACUCUCUGACACACUAAAUAAAAAAGAUAAGAGCUCGCAUUUGCUUCCUAGAAAUAAUUCCCUAGCUCUUAAAAAAGGAAAAAAAAAAAUUGAGAAGAGCUCGCAUUCGUGGAAUGCGAGCUCAAUAACCAGAGCUCGCAUUCCACGAAUGCGAGCUCUUGUAAGCUCGCAUUUGUGAAAUGCGAGCUCAUUGAGCUCGCAUUUAGCUCGCAUUUCACAAAUGCGAAUACCCCCCUGACGGAAAUUAAACCUAAAAUCACCCUUUUUGUAGAAUUUUUUUAAAAUUCAUCACAAAGUUGGAAAUUUCUCCAACAGUCUUGUAUGUUUGUCGGCAAGCAUUAGAUUCUUCAUAAGACAAAUGGUGUCGGGUUGGGCAGCCCUAUAUGUGUCCUUAUAUAUGUUAAAUUCAUUUUUUACCCUUUAAACAAUUUAUCAUUUUUUUAGUUGGUCAAAUGAAAGCUUUUACUUCUACAACCGGUAUCCAACCACUACAUCUGAAAUCGUGCCACUUCUUUUAAGUAGGAUCCAACGGCUAUAUUGCACACAAGUCCAUCUUAUGGUUCAAAUUAAAUUUCUACCACAACAGACAAAAGAAUUAUUUCUGUGCUGAAGUGAUAUCCCAGAGAAGCUAAUUAGCCAGGUUUCGAAAUUCAUUCACACAUUGUUCCGUUCACAUAUUGCUUUCAAUUAUAUCAAUCGUCAUUGCGUUGAAAGUUGAAGGCACAAAAAACAAACUGUGAAUGAGGUAAUCAAAUUAUGUUUUCCAGUACAGCGAAAAAUUGGAAAAGAUAUCAUCAAUUUGUUUUGUCGUUUGGGGAAACAGUAAAUGGUCAUCAUCAACAGCGGAGGUCUUAAUCAUCAUCAUCCAUUGAUUGUCACGUUCUCAAGCAUUAACCAACCACCGGUGCCUAUGCGACAUUUUUUUUCCCCAAAAAAUCAAAUUAAGGGCACAUUUAUUUUCCAAUACUAGACACAGGAAAAGACCGAGGGACCAUCACACACACACACGCGCAUAUAUAUAUAUAUAUACAUAUAGUAUGUUUUUGGGAACCAGGGACAAUCAUAAUUGGAUGGCAAAAGGGGCAUAUUUUCCUGUCCUUGCUGUGACCAUUAAUUCACGAUCCUGUGGUUUUUAAAAGGACGGGUAAUCUAAGUCGGGCGGUGGCCUCUAGCCCAAAAAAAAAAAUUUUUUUUUUCCCCUGGUGGGACCGGGGGCAGUACGAAAGAGAUUAUUAGGUGUUGAAACUAAAAUCAUUGUCGAGAGAAUUUUUCAGGGGAAACAAAUAGAGCUGACAUUUGUUCUUGGUCAAAUUCAAAAUUUCCAGUCAUCCAUCCGUCUCUUUUUAAUGUUCUGAUCCUUAAUACUAGCAAAGAAUUUCAAGUUUAAUUAACUCGAAAUUCUCAAGAUAAUUCGUCUCUUUUUAAUGUUCUCAUCCUUUUAUUCUCUCGAUCCUCAAGGUAAUAGAAUGAAACUCUCGUCUCUAGUAGUUUAGGUAAAUUCCAUAAAACUUUUUCGUUUCCAAUUUGAUGAUAUUCAAGAGUUCAACAACUUUGUGGAGUUGUGUUAUUUAACUACUCUUAAAGUAGUUCGUCGCCAAAUGACUGAAAUAAAUUUUAAAAUUCUACAUGAAUACAGGUCAACGAUCAAAUAUUUUGACCUGCAUUCUAAUAUUCACACAUUUCUGAAAAUAGUGAUUUAUCGAGUUUUUCUUGACCUGUUUAGGUUUGUCUCUUUUUAGUAUAAAAUAGAAAUAAUUAUAACAUAAACUCUAUCAUGUAGUAACAAAAAAAAAAAAAUUAUUCGUGCUUUGAAUUGCCAGCUUGUCCGUGGUGCACUUUUUCUUCUUCAUCCGUACUUGUUUGUCCAAGCACUAUCAACAGGAAAGAUUAUUUAGGAUGCCGCAAAUGUGCAUGUUUGUGAUCGGUAAUUGACUGCCAUUAUCUCUUUCUACACUUUCGUGUGUGCUGCCAUUAUCAACUUUCAAGGUGUCGCUGUCAAAUGUCAAUACUUUGGCAAGAGAAAUUCAAGUUUUACUGUUGAAAACAAACAUGGUACACUACUAUUUUUCUUUUGUUUAUUUUUCUUUUUGGGGGGCGUGGGUGGUUUUGUGGUUUGUAAAUUUUGCCUCUGAUCCUCUCGUCUGGCUGUCGUGUUCAAUGCUUUUAUACCUAUCAAAGUCAAGUGACUUGGCCAAACCUCAUGCUCAAGGCAUUAUGAAUUUCAACCUGUCUUUGUCAUUUUUUGUUACUUCUUGUUUCGUUAAAAAAAAUAUAUAUAUAUUUUCCUCAAGAUAAUGCAACUAUGCAGGACGUCUGUUUCAGGAACCCGUGCGAAUUGAAUGGAGUGUCUUUUCUCUGCUUUUCGGCUUUACUUAAUUAAUUUGCACCUAAUCAAAUUAAUUUAAGUAUUACUUAAUUGACUAUUCCAUCACUGAACGAUCUCCCCAGUUAUAACCUUCGCCUGUUGCAUCAUUUGUUUGACAAGCACGUGUGACCUCACUCACCAAUUGCUUCAUCCUAAAGGUUCCUUUACAGCACUGAAACAUGUAAACACCUUCCUACCCCAGUUCACUCACUCAUCAGUUGCUACAUUUGGUUAAUUAGAUUAUUUGGCUUGAAUUCCUGUAAGGAACUUAACACAAUACUGAAUUGCCACGUUGUGAAAGUUUUGACUCUGCGUAAAUGUUUUCCAUACUUGAAUGAUUCUGGGAACCUCGAAUUUUUCUUCUUUUACUUUCAGGGGUUAUUCAAGGAUCCGGGGUUACCACAAUCUAUAUCUAUAUUUAUAUGUAUCACCAAGGACGGCAGUUUGACGAGGUGCGUCCAAAAUCAUCAAAAUUUAGAAUUCUAUUUUAUUACAAUUUCACAUUUUUUAAUUAAGUAAUAUUUAUCCCUUAACUAAUCACAACCACUCCUACGAAUUAGCUUUACAAAUUACAAUCAUGUCUAAAAGAUAUCAACACAUGACGUGCGCGUUUGAAAGACUCCUUGCUCCGCAUACCUUGCCAUUCCAAUUAAGAUCUUUGACAAGGAGUUUUCACAGGCAUCAAAAAUUUAAAUUUCUUUUUACUAUAAUUUUAGAUUUAUUUUAGUUCAAUAAUCCCUUCUCUUUAAUCUUUCCCACUUUUCAAUUUAUGCGAGCCACAAAUCCAUAAAAUCAAAACUUCAAAAUUUUAACUAAUGGAUGACCCACUAACCUACAAAAUCAAAACUCCAAAAUUUUAACUGACAGAUAAUAACCACCCCUACAAAAUUACAUCUGCAAAUCCCAAAUCAAGUCUAACACUGAUAUGACUAAUAGUAAUAACUAAUUGAUAAUUUAAAAAACUCACCAUUAUGAAAAUCGCAUAUCUAAAAUUUAGGUACCCUUUUGGAUUAUAAUUCCCACAAUUCUACGUAUCUUAUUGUUAUGACAUAUUUUACUCUCAUAAUUAUUCACAAAACUAACGAUCACUAACUAAUUUUCAUUUGUCAUCCGCACAAAUCAAACAUAGGGAGAAAAACAUAUAUAUAUAUAUAUAUAUAUAUAUAUAUGUGUGUGUGUGUGUGUGUGCAUAAUUAUAUAUAUAUAAUGAUAUUAUAUCAUUUAUACUACUAAUUAUGCAUGUCUAUUAAUAAAAAUUAUUAAUUAUUUAUAUUAAAUUCCUAAUUACACUCAAUACAAAAACAUUUUUUCAAAAAAAAUACAAUAAUAAUUUAGUGAUUGUAUUUGUAUCAAAAGUAAAAACUUGAUUAUUUUAUUUAUAUUUUUUUAUCAUAUUAGAUUGUAUUCAAAUAACUUUUGUUUAAUUAUUUUUAUGAGUUUCAAUUGUGAAGUUGCAAUGAAUAAUAAUUUGGUGAUAUGUUGAUAUUUUAGUACUUGAUUAUUUGCUCAAAUUCAAUUAUAAUGAAAUUAUAUAAUAAAUUUUUUUAACCCCACGGGUGCCUCCGCGGGGGAAACGGGGCGGGGCGAGGGAAUUAAUAAGCAACAGGGCGGGGGGUGUGGAAGGGAUCCCCGCCCCAUUGCUACCCCUAAUCCAACCUACAUGUAUUUCAACUGUGUCUCAAUUCCAAAGUUGCAAGAUUGCAAAGUAGAAAGCAAUUAAUUACAAAACGAAACCUAAAUCACAAUGAUUUCAUUGAAAUAUUUCAAAAGGUUUAGCAAGUUUAUUUUCAAGAAAGACAAGUCUCAAUGAACAUUAUUUUUUUAGUAUGAAUUCCAUAAAAUUCAACAUAAUCAAUUAAACCACCAAUAUUUACUUUCGUACUAAAUAUUGAUUGGUGUGAAAAAUGUUCGUUCAAGAUUAUCAAAUCGAAUACAUAAUAUUUGUAAGUAUUUCAUUUUAAAAUCAAAUAAAACAUGCGAUUAUAUGCCUUUUUUAAUAUAAAUUUCUAUUAUUAUUUUAAGAUCUAUUUUUUGCAAAAACACAAUUUUUGAAUAAUGUACACAUUUUUAUCAUACUUUGAAUUAUUAGUAGACAAAUCUUAUAUUUUAAUUAUAUUGGUACAAUCUUUUUAUUUUUUUCAAAUUCACUUUCUCUUUUAUUUUUUUUAAUAAUAUAGUAUCGUGUGUGCAGCAUAGGUAUUUAUGCUAGUUAUCGUGCAAGUAGGGUAGGGAAUCACUGACUAGCUAGAUCUCCUGGCUCCAGAAACAGCGCCCAAUAAAAUUUCCACGUCAUAAGGUCCACCACGACCCCAUUACUUGGUCCACCCAGGUGACCAAGACCCUACGCAUUUUCAUGCUUCAUCACUUGGUUUUAUCACACUUACGUGCGCUGUUAUCAAUCAGCCAUCGUCAAAUAAUGAAUAAGUUAUAUUUUAUCACUCGUUAUCAUUACUUAGUGAUCGGCAAUUGACAAUCUAUAUCUAUAUCUAUAUCUAUAUGUAUUCAAGAAGGGGUUUUUAGCAGAAACCCUCUCAAUGAUUUCUAAACUUCUCAUUCUUUUUUUUAGAUUUUUGUAUUUAUUUUAAUACAUAAAAUAUAGUAAGUUAUAACCCACCUUAUCACCCAUCAAUAUUCCCACUAUCUCACUCCCAAUAUCUUAACUCAUCUUACUAUCACUCCUACAAAUUCUCUAUUCCCACUAUCCCACUAUCUCACUCCCACUCUCUCUCAGUUUCUUAUUUGUUUUUGGUUCUCUAUUCAUUUUGUAAAUGUAUUGAUUUUGUUUCUUUUAUGAGCAGUAGUGAAAGAUAUUAUGUGCAGAGACUUCAGCAGAAAUCAACCUUCUCGCGGAGAAUUGGAAGUAUAUUCUUGCCAGCUUAAUUUUCCAGGUCGGUCCCUCUGCCUUUUAAGUAUGUUUUGCUUUUGCUUUACUUUUUGUCAUGAAUGAUAUUGCAUUGAUUUUCUGAUCAUCUAUUAUUUCUGAAAAUUUUUUACAAAAUCCUAUAAACGGUUGUUUGUUUAUUGUUACACUGUAAAGCAAAGAUACUCAAUAGUGGGAUAAAGUAUAAACACAAAAUCACAAUCACAUUUCUAACAUAAGGUAUUGCUUGCUUAUAUAAUUGCGGAUGGUAUAGGUUCAUGAUUGAGGGUUUUACUAUUUCUAACAUAAAUUGUAUAUUAUAAAAAUUUAUUUGUUUGUAUUAUUGAAGUUUUUUAAAUUAUUUUUUAUUACACAUUUAUCACAUAAAAAAGGUGUUACGAUAGUAGAGGGAAUGAAGCCGUUAGCGACAUGUGAAAAAAUCGAAAAGGACAAAAGCAAUUAGAGGGAUAAUUUCGCACAAAAUUCGUGGGUUAAAGUGCAAUUUGAGGUAUAGAUGGGAGACAUUUUAGUGCAUUUAUUGGUUUAUUUUCAAUAAGUGGUGGUUGGUUUUGCGGAGUUUGGGGGGUCUACAUGUACCAAAAUAUAUUUAUAUAUGGAUUACUUCAUUAACUAUGGGUGCUAAUAACAAUUCUAUUGGUGCGCAAUUUUCAUUUGAUUACAACACAAUUGUAUUAAAUUCUAUUGAUGCUACUUCUAUAUUAACUAUUGUAUUUUUUUGUUAACAAUUCUCAUACAAUGUAUCACUUACAACACAUAAAAUAAAUACAAAAACUAUUUAUUUUUUAUUUAAUAUAUUUUUUUUCUAGAUGAAAGAAAUGAAAAUAUUGCUUCUCUUCAAGUUCGACAGCCAUCCGCAUCACCAAUACUUUUGCAUGAUCAUAGUAAAUAUGCAGUUUUUUAUAUUGUCAAAGAUCGUGCAUUUUCAUUUGUAGUACGCAUUCCACAAAAUUCAAUAUAGUUAAUUAAAUCAUCAAUUUUGACUUUCGUACUAAAAGUGGAUUGGUGUGAAGAGUGUUCGCACCUUCAAGAAAGAUUAUCAAAUCGAAUGCUUAGUAUUUGUAAGUAUUUCAUUUUAACAACAUUCAUUUGUAGAAAUAUAUCAUUUACUUUUUUAAUAUAAAUUUUAAUUUUUUUUUCAGGAUCCAUCUUCCAAAAAAAGACAGUUCUUGAAUGAUAUACACAUUCUAUUAUAUUUCAAAUUAUUGUUAAACAGAUAUUACAUUUAAAUUUUGUUGGUUCAAUUUUUUCACCUUUAUUUGUUCACCAUUUUAUUUUUUUCAAUAAUGUCAGCACCGUGCGUAGCACGGAUAUUCACACUAGUUAUGUAUGUAUUACGUAACGACGUGCAAUACCAACUCCCCAAUUAGCUUGUCUAUAUAGAAUCAGUGACUCUCAAUUGAGGAUCCUCACUUGGGCCACAUUUGAGGCAGAGAAAAUUAUUUGUUCGACUCCUAAAUUAUUUUUUUUGCACUUUUUAACCUCUCAACAAUAUAUUGUCCGAAAGACUCAGUGUUUGUGGGAUGGAAGAUUGAGAAUUUAAAUCUACCUUCGACCUUCUAUCACUUUGACAUUAACAUACGAUUUCUUCAAAUUCAUAAAGACAUGUAGUGCACUCAUUUAAUUCGAUUUAAUACUGACGAAAUCAAGGGGUAAUAGAAUAGUUCUCAGAUAAGUGUCCGCUCGACAAUCUUAAAAAAAAAAAAAAAUCAAUACAGGAAUCCUCCGUAAAGAACAUAUGAAUCGAAAAUAAACACAGUCUCAUCCCACAUCGAAAGAUCGUGGGGUCUUUACUUUGGGUUUAAGAUCCACAGGGAUCUCGUUCUGUCAUCAAUUAGCUGAACGUGGAUUCUUUGUGGGUGCCCCUUAGAUUGCUUUAGGGCCAAUUUUUCAUUAACUUCCGUGUUUGUUUCUAAUUGUGUGUGUGAGUUAUUUCGUUUCCGUAAAAAAAAAAAAAAAAAAAAAAAGAGAAUAGACAUAGUCCUCGGAUGCGUGGCCGCUCGAAACACCAUAUGGAGUCGUACUGGAAAAGGUUUAAAAAAUCAAAAUAAAAGGAGAGAUCUCCUUUGUAGACCAACAAAAUCCGAAAUCAUUUUCAGUGUAUAUCAUUUCCCGGGAUUUUGACGCAUUAUUCGAGUUUCUUUUCAUAUCAUCAUUCAUAAUUUUUUUCUUUUGAUAUACGUUACGGCUUGAGCUAGUCCGGCUUAAGCUCAAACGGCUUAGUUGGUGAAGUCUUUCUUGCAGAUUAUAGACGCGAGUUCCCUUUAUUGUUCUUCUUCUUUUCUGUUCUUCGGUCAAGCAAAUAGACGAUCGACGCACUACUAAAGAACAGCCUGAAAAUCACGUACUCUACGUCCCAUAAACACCAUCCAACAUCUACUACAUAUUGUACUGAAUACAUAAUAGUUUUCAGGAGAUAAUGCCAUGAUAAAGUUUGGGAAUUGAGGCCUAGUCUAGAAUUUUAGGAUUAUUAAAUUUGCUGUUUAACAUUCUUUGGGUAAGCUGGCUUGUUAAUAUGGUUUGCAAGGGAUAGGUUUAACAUUUUCCAGCAUUUCUCAAGAAGCUUUACGUUUCUGUCUCAAAUUCCGGGUAUAACUUAAGUAUAUGCUAUUGGCUCUUACUUUGUUCGUGCUCCUUUUACUUUUCCUUGAUAUCAUCCUUCCCUUUUUUUCCCCCCCUCUAAAAACAGACAAAUAAUUAAUAGGGCAAGAAAUUAGGGAUACAAAUGAUUCUUCUUUUAAAGUUCAAAAGUGCAACAUUUUUAUGUUUUCCUAAUUUAAAAUUUUCGAUGAACUCCUUGGCGCAUUGAAACUAUUAAGCUUCUCAACAAAGAAGGCAAUUAUAUACCUUUGUAGCUUCAAGAAAACGAUAAAAAUGCUGUGGUUAGAAAUCAAUAUAUACUCGAUUGGGUACUGAAAGAUAAUAAUUUUAUCACACGAUGAUCAUGAUUAGAACCUUGAUGGAUGUUGGUAUUAAACACUGGCAGGGCCAGGGCCGUAGAUUAAAUGACAACCUCCCCAUUGGGACACCGCCAUACAGGUUUAGCCAGCAAUUGUCUUCUUUCUUUUUCGUUUUCUUUGCUGGGGCCGGGGGAGAAUUGAUGGAUUGAUUUGAAACUAGUUAGUUAGCAAACCUUCAUUCAAGUUUCGAAGAAGAUUGAUUGAAUUUAAGGGGGAAAAAAAAGAAGGGAAUUGCUUCAAUUACCAUAUAUUGACAAGCAAGACAAUAUCCUAUUUAUUAGGAUUAUCGAUCCAUCCUUAUCCUGUUUCCAUGCUGAUUCUUCUGAAGCACUAUAAUCCUUUGCAAGAAUCUAUCUAAAGCAGCCCCACUUGCCCGAAACAUUUAUGCGUUGAUCUUUCCGAGUAACAGGAAUUCUUGGUCUGUAUAGUUUCUUGUCAGGGUGGUUGAUCUUUCGAAAUUAAUGGAGGCAACGUCCCUAUACAUCAAAAGAGAGAGGGACGGAGAAAAAAAAAAUAGCAUUGAACUUCCACGAGAGCGACGUCGUGCAUCCGUGUAUACCACACAAAUUCAAGAUCAUUUUUGAUCCACCGUUCAUUAUUGGAAGAGCAAGAGAGAGCGAGUUUUUGCGUUUUGAUUGAACAAGUACGAAAGCGAUAGAAAUGGCACAUACGGAGAUAAUUUGCUUCGUUUCAAAGAAAGGAUCGAAUUGCAUUUGACUAAUUGACAAGUACUCGGGGAAGGAAAUAUUAGCUGGUUACUAGUUCAUGUGUUGAAAAUCUGUAGCACCUUCCUUCCAAAACCGCGUGGCCAUGCUUGAUCAAGACAGUUAAACACAGUCAAGAUUUCAAUUCUUCAUCCACAGGUGGCAAUGCGACGUAAUGGUAUUGCUUACAACUUUAUGCCACACAGCUAUACUGAAAUAAAUAAAUUCCAUGCACAAAAUUUGAUUUUAGUAUUUUGAGAUCAAGCUCAAAUUUGGGUUAGAGUUUCAUUAACGGUUGCUCUAAUAUUUUUUUUUGAUUUCUUGAAUUAGUCCUCUUGCACUCCUUUGGAAGCAUGUUAUUUCGUGAGCCGAUUGGAGUCCCGAUAGAAUAGGCUAAAAUGGGAGCACGAAUAUGAAUUCCGAAUUCUCUCCUUAGCAACCGAUUUUCACUCCCUCAAAUAUUUGACCAGUCACAAUUCAUCAUAAAUGUAUGACCAGUCACAAUUCACAAUUAAUUCACGCAGAAAUUAUAGAAAACUGAGACGUUAACGUUUCUGCCUUUUACCUCGACUCUUAGUUGGUUUGAAAUUGUUGCUUUAAAGAAUUUCAUGUUAGCUUGUAGGAGGGACCAGUCAGUCGCUGUGAAUGACGAAGGGAAGAUGCAAUACUGGCUGGAUAAGAGUCCAUAGCUAAGAGAGGCAAGAGAUAAACUUGGAUCGUAGGGCGUGGACCAUGGACCGCGACGGAGUAACAAAAAUUUAAAAGUUAUUGCAAAAUUUGCGACAUAGCAAAAACAUGAUUGACAUAAUAUAUUGACUUGGCUCUGUUACACUUCACGGACGAUGAAUGAUGAAUGGCUCAGAGUUGGGUAAGAAAGUCAAAAUUGAAGUUGUGCGGAUGAAAAAUAGCAUCAUGGAAUUCCAACGCAACGCGACAGAAGCGUAAAGAUCGAAUCCACGUGAACAAUAAAAUGAAUAUAACAUCUUUCUUUAUUGCGAAAAUCUACAGAGCGAUUUACAUCGGAUUUCAAGAAAACGGUUCCUAUGCCUCUCCCAGUCUCCCUCUCCGCUACCUUUUCAAUGCUGUAUUUUAAACGUUUUGUUCCAAUUGUCAUUUUUCUUUCUCAAAAUAUAUUUUCUGAACGUCUUUUCAUCAUAUAUAUAUAUAUAUAUAUAUAUAUAUAUAUAUAUCAAAUCGAUAAAAUAUAUUUUUUAACAAAAAAAAUUUAAAAAUACGAAUCCAAACUAGCGUUAAAUCGCUAGCAGCUAGAAUCAAAGGGAUUGUUUGGAUUGGCUUGAUUUCAAAUAAAAAAAAAUUAUUUCAUAAAUUUUAAUCAUCUUUUUUAUUAUUUUUUUUUUAUCUCACAUACAUUACAUCACAAAAAAUACUACAGUAAUUAUCUCAAAUAAAUUAUACAAAUAAAAGGAGAUUGGAAUUGCGACUAGGCACGCCAUCAUUAUUUAUUGACUAUUGAAUUGCUACUAUUUUUCAUGAAAGAUUUAUUGACCAGUGUGACUUAUCAAUGCAAUGGUAAAAGUUUUUCAAGUGGCAGUACCAGAAAUUAGUUGGGUGACAGUAACGUCAGUCGAAGCAUUUUUUAACAGAUCUCCGAUUGUAAAAUUAACAAAACAUAUACUCUCUCUAACUAGUAGCGGUAAUAUUUUGAUAUUAUGUUGUUGUUCUAUAUCGGCAGGCGAAUGUUUCAGUCGAUGACACGUGUAUAUAUAUAUAUAGUACCGGGUGCUUUACGCUAACGAUGAUUUUUUUUUUUUUCAACGCUAACGACGAUGAAUUAAUUGUAAUACUAAAAAACUGAAAAACCAGAAAUGGACGUGACUGGUCCUUGCAGUUGCGGAGUCGAUUCCCGUGGUUUGAACUUUGAACCGCAUACUGGGUCGGUUUCUUCUGCUGGAACCACCGGGUCAUAUCUUGUACACAAAAUUGAAAAGGCUAUCAGAAGGCAUAAAUAAAAGAACAAAUCCGAGGUUCAUGAAAACUGUCUGUAUUCAUGAGUUUUGACUUGAGAGUAUUCUGAAAAUGAGAUUGGAGGACCUAAAGCUUUGUUUAGUCAUUAGUCACAUAAUUAAGUCAAAUGAUAAAAAAUAAUUCAAUUCAACAUUUAAAUUUAAUGGGUUUAGAUCUUAAUCAAAAAAAAAAAAAAUCUGAAUUAAUCAAGUGCACGUUCAAGCAAAUAAAUAGCAGUUUAGACAGCAGAAUUGGUGAUAAUUAUAUAGAUGUGGAUUAACUUCGUCCAAGCAUUUGUGAUAAUUAUAUGUUUUUAUUCAUACAAGUUAACUGACACUUUACUGAAAUAAUAAAGAUAAAACCAAAACCAAAUGGCAAAGAACGCUGCCUACCAAAAAUUUGAUGAGAGCCAGAAGUCUCAGGCCAAAAAUUUUUAUUUUGAAUUAGGUUUUCAAUUUUCAAGAAGGUCACAUAUUGUCACUCAGAUCCAAGGCUCAUAUGGACCAUCUGUCUUGAGAACUGGUUUGGCCGUUUGGGCUUUCUUAGGAUGAGGGAGAUCGCCGCAGGUUUCUUAUAAAUUAAAACUCCCACAUUCUUUACCUCGUGUGACUCGUGACACCAUCUGACAAUCAAAUGUUGAACUUCUUAUAGGGCCAGGGCCCAAAAAGUUGUCAAAUCCAGAAUAAAAUUGAAAACACUUUUGCAAGCCAAUAGGCAUCCACGCCUCCAAGCCCCGAUUUAGGUGGGACAUUAGUCAAGUCAUCUUUUUCUGAAAAGAUUUGUCAAAUGAUUCUAAAUGCAUUUUCUAAUUAUUUUUUCACCUCAGAAAUAUAUUACAGUAAUUAUUUGGAACAUAAAAAUGUGAUCAUUCAAAACAGAGUGUAAUGGCUUUUUAAACACACCACCAUUUCAGAUAAAAUUUUUUUCCAAUAAUCUUCUAUCCAAGGUUCCAAACACACACACACACACAAAAACCCUCCAAGCUCUAUCCAACACAGAAAAAGGUCCCAAAAAUUCACUCGAUCAAUGAGAUAUUCACUCCAUCAAAUCUGCAAGAGUAGCUGGCUCUUCAGUCACUUUCUUGGGGAAGUUUACAAACCAUUCACUUGGAGUUUAAACUAAGCUCUGAACCGAGUAAUGACCAAUUUUACCAACUUACAUCAGGCGAGAGGUGCCCCUCCAGCUGAAUGCUAACGCCUAAACUCGACCGCGCAAACUACCACGGAUUAUUCCGCCAAUAGAAAGCUUCCCAAUACCAAACCUGUUUACCCUCUAUGCAUUGGCCCUCCAAAAGAAAGGAAAAAAAAAAAAAAGAAGAAAAAGUCCACCCUUUGACCAUCCUUAGAUCUAUGCUCAAAUCGCACAGCCCCUGCCCUUUCCCUCUCUUCCAUCGACAAUUCAAUUAAUCUCAAUAAAUUUGCAGAAACUUGAGUUUUUAUUCCCCUUUCUGCAUCCAAUACCAGAACCAUCUCAUUCAAAAAAGGUGCUGUAAGUCCCCUUUCUUUUUUCGCUCCCAAUUUUCAUGGACAUUGGCUUCUGAAAAGAGCAGUUUGUAAAAAUUUAUUAGAACACGCAUGGAUAGUAAUUAUUCAGCUAUAUCCAAGGAUUCUGACGUAGAGUUAAAGGUUAAAGAUCAUGUCUUGGGAUCAAAGGACAAGUCUUUCAGAUUGAUAUCUCAGGAUGAAGAACUGGGCUAUGUGAAACCUGACAACGUGGAUGAUUCAGAGGUUCGUGAUGAUCUUGAUUUUGAUAAUUUACCCCUUAUUAUUGGAGAAGCUAAAUCAGGGUCAGGUAUUUAUGGUGCUGUUUUUAACCUUACCACUUCAAUUAUUGGAGCUGGCAUCAUGGCCUUGCCUGCAACCAUGAAAGUUUUGGGCUUGGUUUUAGGUGUUGUGCUUAUUCUUUUAAUGGGAGUCUUGUCUGAAAUUAGUGUUGAAUUGCUCGUUCGAUUUGCGAUUCAUUGCAAGGCCUCAUCAUAUGGGGAAGUUGUGCAAGCUGCACUGGGUAGGGCAGCUAGGAUUUUGUCUGAAAUUUGUAUUAUUGUCAAUAAUGCUGGCGUUUUGGUUGUGUAUUUGAUUAUAAUGGGGGAUGUUUUAUCUGGUUCAAUUAGGCAUAUUGGCGUUUUUGAUCAGUGGUUAGGCCAUGGAAUGUGGGAUCAUAGGAAACUGUUGGUUUUGGUCAUUGUGGUGAUUUUUCUUGCACCCCUUUGUGCUUUGGACAAGAUUGAUUCAUUGAGCUUAACUUCAGCUGCCUCUGUAGCUCUUGCAGUUGUAUUUGUUUUUGUUGCUUUUGUUGUGGCGUUCAUUAAGCUUGUUGAAGGAAAGAUUGAGGCUCCAAGAAUGGCACCUGAUUUUGGUUCCAAGACGGCCAUUUUGGAUUUGCUUGUGGUGAUUCCUAUUAUGUCAAAUGCUUACGUCUGUCACUUUAAUGUUCAGCCGAUCUACAAUGAGUUGGAAGGACGCUCUCCUAGCAAGAUGAAUCGUGUGGGGAGGAUCACGACAGUAAUCUGUGUUUUGGUUUAUGCUUCAACGGCUAUAGCUGGAUAUUUGCUCUUUGGAAAGGAUACCGAAGCUGAUGUGCUGACUAACUUCGAUAAGGACCUUGGAAUUCGAUUUAGCACUGCUUUAAACUACAUUGUCCGAAUAGGAUAUAUAUUUCAUUUAAUUCUAGUGUUUCCUGUGAUCCAUUUUUCGUUGAGGCAAACAGUGGAUACCAUGUUGUUUGAAGGAUCAGCUCCACUUCAGGAAAGUAAGAAGAGGUGUCUGGCCCUGACGUUAGUGCUCUUAGGACUUAUUUAUUUUGGAUCCACAAUGAUCCCAAACAUCUGGACAGCUUUCAAAUUUACAGGAGCAACCACAGCAGUGUCAUUGGGAUACACAUUUCCGGCUCUUAUUGCACUCAGGUUAAGCAAAGAAGGGGUUAGUCUGAGUUUUGCAGAGCGGUUAUUGUCUUGGUUCAUGUUAACAUUGGCAAUUGUUGUUAGCGUUGCUGGGGUGAUUGGCAACGUGUAUAGCAUUAAAAGCCAAUCUGAGUGAUGUUUUUAUUUUAGUCUAGAAGUUGUACACGAGAGUAGUUCGGACAUGGAGGAAACUAGAGCAAAUGGUGGAGUGAGUUUUCAGAUGAAUAGCUUUGCCGGAGCGGUGGCUUAGUGAGGUGAAGAAUGAGCAAUGAGCCCUCCCUCUGCAGAGCCAGAUAAGAUCUUGGGCAUAUGCCAAAUUUCAGCAUUGAUAGCCUUGCUUGGAAACAGAGUGUUUGUUCCGGACUUUUGGUCAUGUUCAUUCUACUUUGCAAGCUUAAGAGCAAUCAACAAUGAGUUUUGAGCAGGCAUCCGGAUUGAAGUCAUUGUUUGAUGGGAUUGCUGCAGAAUUGGUACCUUGUGCUCCUUAUCUUGGCAACUUUUGGUUUUGCUUCCACCUCGAGCCUAAUCUCUUUUGCUACCAUAGAGUAUCAAACAGACUUGUAAUACUUUUUGGCAUUGUUCAUUAAGAAACAUGCGCAAACCAUUUAAAGUUAGGUGGAUUACAUACUUUGCUGAUAACUCGUGUUGGAAGAUACGAAAAGCACGCUUAGUUACGGGGAUCAAUUUCUAGUUCUCACUUGCGUUUGCACUUGAAAAAAAUGGUAUUUUGUGCAGUGUCGUUAGGUUUUAUAUUUCCAGCUCUUAUUGCAGCCAGGUUAAGCAAAGAAAGGGUUAAUCUGAGUUUUGAGGAGAGGUUAUUGUCGGGGUUCAUGUUAACAGUUAAUAUCCAUACCGUAUAUAAAAGGAAAUGAAGGAGAUUGAGAUUAGCAUGAACUUCCAUUUUUGUCCUUGUGAAAACUACUCUUACUUUAAUUAACUAUACACAUGUUGUCAAGAUUUCUGUCCAUGACUAUUUUUAACUUUUAAUUACAAGGGAAAAUCUUUCAAACGCUUCUUACAUUUUAUUAAAUAAAUUUUUUAACCUUUCGCUUUUAAAAUGUUAAUUUUACAUCUCUUAUAAAUGUAAGUGAGCAAAAUUUGAUCCCAACUUAGAUUUCUGAUCACUUUUUGGUUUGAAAUCAUCACGUAACUCACAUGUGAUCAUUUUUUAGUUAUAAAAAAGUCAAAUGCCACUUGUUUAAAGGUAAAAAUGAAUAUAGAUUAGGUUAGAUCUUACAUUUUUUAGGAGAAAACUUGAAUAAAGUUCGGAUUAGAUUCCACUUUUUUAGAGACAAAAUGAAUUUGGAUCGCGUCAUUUGUAUAAAUACAAAUGGUGUCUAAUCUUUUUUGCCCUUGGAAAAUGAUUAUAUGUGAAUUGCGUGAUAGGUUUAGGGUAAACAAUGAUAUGAAAUCUAGGUUAGGAUCAAAUUUUAUUUACUUGAAUCAGUCGGAGACGUAUAAUUAAUAUUUUAGAAAUGAAUGAUAGAAAAAAUUUAAUCGAUGAAAUGUGUGAAACGUUUUGAAUGAUUUUUUUUUUAAACUAUUAAAGUAUAUCUUUUCAACAUAAUUACCCCUAAAUAUUAGAAACAUAGAAUUAUUUUAUGAAAAAAGAUUUAAAAGAUCAAAGGUUUGCUUCGGCAAUGAAAAUUUUAUAUAAAAUAUAUGACCAUAAAUAUUAUAUAUAUAUAUAUAUAUAUUGCACACGCGUUGAAUUUGCAUUUACCACUAGUUGGCAAUUAUUGUUAGCGUUGCUGGGGAGUUUGGGAUAGCAUUAAAAGCCAAUUGAGUGACGUUUUUGUUUAGUCUAGAAGUUGUAGACGAGGACACAGAGGAAACUAGAGCGCAUGGAGGACUGAAAUUUCCGAUGAAUGGCUCUGCCGGAGUGAAAAAAAUGAGCAAUAGACUCUCCGCUGUGCCGGGAUAUGUCAAUUUCAGGAUUGAUGUUGGUUAAGAAGUAGCCUUGAAUGGUAAAAGUGUUCGCCCCGGGUAUUUGAUUCCACCUUAAAGUAAACCUCUGCUUUUACCACGUACCAGUAAUCAGGGUCAUUGACUUCGUACGUACGAGCCCCAAACACAUGCUUUUGAAAUUACAAUUUUGAUGGCUUUUCCAGUGAUACCAAAAAGAAUCCCUUUGCUCCGUUGCGAAGGGACGAACGAUCACUUUAAAGAGAACGGAAUUUAAAAGUUAUCUAGGGAUGCAAAUAAUUUUUAUAAUUUCUAAAAAACUUCUGAAAUUUAAAAAAGAAGAAAAAGUUACUAUUUGCUAAAGGGAAGAGACGGUUACUAAAUUACAGGGACUUGCAAAAGGAGAAAAAAAAGCAAAUAUUGACCAGCGUUUCGCUGGUUGUCCACUUCUGAUGAUUAGAUAAUGCGACUACAAGGACCAUUGCCCAUGUUUAGCAAAUAUGACCCAACCAAGAGUCCUAGAGCUGGUUUUUAUUAUCAGACAGAAUCGAGGAGCAGAAUAGGACAACUGGCCAAAUGUCAAAUAAAAGUCAUCAAGUUACCAACAGCCUGCCCUUAAAACCAUAUCAUAUGAAUGAAAAGACACGAAGUUUCAUCUAAAAACACGGAGCAAGUGAUUCACGCAGCUGAAGCCGCCAUCAACCAUGAGGUUGUCUCCACUUAUGUACCUUGCUUCAUCACUA